rnacentral:lncRNA from 1 species
UUAAAUAUUUUGGUGAUAUGACUUCUAGAUAAUUUUUUGUGAGGUUGUUUCCGAUAUUAAACCAUUAAUAAAACAACAAAAAAGAUAUUACCCCUUUAUUAUUAUUAUCAUAACCAGAGAUCAAAUCUCAUAUCAUCUUUAAUCAAACCAUGAUAAACUGAACCCUGGACAAGAUAACAAACAUAGCUUUAAAAAAACUAUGUAAAAUAUCCCACCCGACCACCUAGACCUAGACAUAUGUUAAUACUAACAUAUGCCCUCAUUGUAACCAUAUUAUAUUAAAAUAUAGUAAUAAUAGUAGUAAAUAAAAUACUCAACUAAGAAGCAAAAUAAACACAACCAAACUUCAAUAAUAAAAAAAAAACCGUCAUUCAUCAACCAUUGAAUUUACUCUUCAACUUUCUCUGGUUCCUCAGAUACAGGGGCAGCUUCCUCUGCUUUCUCUGCUUCCGGUUCCACAACUGGGACUGCUUCUGGUUCAGCUUCGGGUGCUGCAGCCUCCUCAACGGGUGCUGCAGCCACCGGUUCCUCAGCUGCGGCUGCAGGUUCUUCUGCUGUCNNNNNNNNNNNNNNNNNNNNNNNNNNNNNNNNNNNNNNNNNNNNNNNNNNNNNNNNNNNNNNNNNNNNNNNNNNNNNNNNNNNNNNNNNNNNNNNNNNNNNNNNNNNNNNNNNNNNNNNNNNNNNNNNNNNNNNNNNNNNNNNNNNNNNNNNNNNNNNNNNNNNNNNNNNNNNNNNNNNNNNNNNNNNNNNNNNNNNNNNNNNNNNNNNNNNNNNNNNNNNNNNNNNNNNNNNNNNNNNNNNNNNNNNNNNNNNNNNNNNNNNNNNNNNNNNNNNNNNNNNNNNNNNNNNNNNNNNNNNNNNNNNNNNNNNNNNNNNNNNNNNNNNNNNNNNNNNNNNNNNNNNNNNNNNNNNNNNNNNNNNNNNNNNNNNNNNNNNNNNNNNNNNNNNNNNNNNNNNNNNNNNNNNNNNNNNNNNNNNNNNNNNNNNNNNNNNNNNNNNNNNNNNNNNNNNNNNNNNNNNNNNNNNNNNNNNNNNNNNNNNNNNNNNNNNNNNNNNNNNNNNNNNNNNNNNNNNNNNNNNNNNNNNGGUUCUUCUGCAGCCGCAGGUUCCUCAACUGGGGCUGCAACAGGUUCUACUGCAGCUGCCACUGCGGCUGCAGGUUCUGCAGCUGCAGGCUCUUCAGAUACAAGGGCUGCUGCUUCCUCCGCAACAGGAGCAGCCUCUUCUUCUACUGGUGCUGGUGCUGAUUCGACCUCGACUUCCUUUUCUACAACUGGGGCUGGUUCCUCCACCUGUUGAAGACACAAUUAAGUUAAUUAAAACCUACUUUAAAUAACAUGAUCAUGCACACUUCAAUACGAUAUCAGAGCAACCAGAUGUCCUGAGUUCAAAUCGCACCACAACUAUUAUAAAAAAGAACUUCCACGUGUUUGGACAAGCAAAAAAUAAUAAUCAGACCAACACUUGAGCUAUGUUUGAUACCGCAUCCGUGUCAGAUCCUCAAAAACUAUAUUACUUUCUAAGGAUCUGACAGGAACGCAUGCAAUCACAGUUUUGAAGAUUCCAAGCAACAUAACAUGUUAGCGGGUGUUACAAAACAUUAUUAAGUGAUUAAAAGUGUAACUUCUUUUAACAGAUUAAACUUUUAGAUAAGACGAUCAAAUAAUUAAAUGCUAUCUUGGUUACCUCUGGAGCUGGGGUAGCCUCAACCUCAGCUGGAGCAGUCUCUACUGCUGCUACUGGUGCAGAUUCAACCUUUAAGAAAGACAAAAAAAUCAAUCAAGUGAGAAAGAUCCAUCAAAUUAAAAUAUCUUUGAUUAAUGAUCAACUGUUUUCAGAUUGAUCAUAUGUAAAAGUAUUACAUAUGGUUUUAACAAAAUUAAAGAUUCAAGAAUUCUGCAUUUUUAGUUUAAAGGGAAAAAUAAAAAUCAAAACAUAUACUAUAGCUAGUAAGUAAGAUGAAGAUUCUAUUUUUUUAGUGUUUUCCUAAUUUGAUCUAUCAGAUCACUAGGCUAAUAUUUAAAAAAUUUGGUGUUAAAUUCUACUUCUUAAAAAAUGUUUCAUCAAUAGUGUCGAUCGGAUCAUCCAAAAAUUCACUACUUCUGGAGAAUCCAACAUGCUAGUUGACGUUUUUAAAAAGUCCGAGUUAAAUUGGUAAUAAAUCUUGAUGACAGAUAUGAUCACACCUUUAUACAAGAAUGAUCUAAUAAUAUUUCAGGAUAUUAAAAACAUUGAAGAAAAGUUAAUUAGGUAACUGAUCUUGAUCAGUUUUUAGUUUUCAUUUAGAAAGAAAUAGAAAAAAAAAACAUUAUUAUAAAAAUACCUCAACACUGGCCAUUGGAAUAAAGUUGAAAAAUAAGAAAAUGGGAAAGAGGAAAAUAAAUGAAGAAAUGGAAGGGGCAAAAGGUUUGUAAUUGUAAUUGGUGAUGGAAAAAAUGAUCAAAUAAGAGAGCUUUAUAUAGAGAAGUAAAAUGGAGUGUAUUUAAUUUAAAAAUAAUUAAUGGAAGAAAAAAGAAUCUUGAAGGAUAUACAUAUUGACACCUCACCUCACAUCACUGACAAUUAAGGGUGUACAAAAGAUUUGGAUGUCUAGUUGUAAAUGUAUUUACUUUUACUUUACUUUAUGCUUAUAAUAAUAAGAAAAUAAGUAAUAAUAAUCUUACAAAACAUUUUCUUUUUUCCUUACUUUUUUAUAAGUUUAAUCACUCCGUACUCGAGUUGAAGAUCUAUCAGAAACAACUUCUAUAUAUGUAAAGAUAGAAUUAAGAUAUGCAUACCCCAUUUAUGGGAUAACAUUCAGUAUGUUGUUAAUGUUAUAAUCAUUGGAUAUUUAAAUUUACAUGUUCGAUUAAUCUAGAUUCUAAUGGAGUAAGUCCAUCAAGUAAUACAGAGUAAAAUUCAUAAAUAGCAAUUUUUAGCUUUUGUUAUGGAAUUUCAAAUUCAACAAGUAAAACUUUGAAAUUUGGAACUUCUUGAUUGUGAUUGCUUUUUAAAUAUAUAGUCUUAAAAAGGACAAUAAAUGUUAUUAAUAGGUAAAACAUUCCUUUAUUGGGGAUUUUUUUUAAUUUCAAAUGGUUCGAAUCUAAGACUUAUGAUUAGGAAAGUUAGAAUUUCAACAAUCACACAACGCAAAUCUAGUAAAUAUUAAACAAAAUUGUAUCCCAUUUCCUCUUUUUCCUUAACGUGACGAGUUUUUUCUUUCAUAGCAUUAUGAAUUAAUUUAUUUACCAAUUUGAACUUGAAACUGAUAAUGAAUAAGUUCGUGCUUACUUUAUUUUAUAAGAAAAAUAAUAUUCUUACACAUUCUUUUCUUUUUUGAUUUUCAAGAUGAGGAGCUUUUUCUUUGAUAAGAUUAUAAAUUUAUUUAUUUAUCAAUUUGUCUAUUCAAACAUUAGAUCGACACAAUAUGAAUCAGUUCACAUUAACAAUCUCUUAUAAGAAAACGUUACUUAACACAUUCUUUUCGGUUUUUUCUUCCUUAUUUAUUUUGAAAAUAAAAACUUUUUUUUUUGGUGACAUUACAAAUUCAUUUAAGGGAAAAGGGUCAAAAAUGUCUUUAAACUAUGUGAAAGGAACAAAAAUGCCCUCCUUUUAUAGUUUGAUUCAAAAAUGCCCUUGCAGUCAAUACUUUGGUCCAGAAAUGCCCCUAUAGUUACAAAAUGGGUCAAAAAUGCCCUUUUUCUAAAUAAAUAUAUUGUUUUUUCUUUUUAAACACAUUUUCUUCUUAAUUAAAAUAUUAUUAAAGAACACUAUUCUUUAUUUCUUUCUUCUAAAAUCACAUUGACAAAUAAAAAUGUGGGAUUUUUUUUUUUCUUCUUAAUCUCAUUUUAUCAAUUAAAAUAGAAUAAUUUCAUGUACCCUUUCGACAAAUAAUAUUUGCCCUAUAUAUAAGAUCAUAGUAUACCCAUCAUUAAUUUAUAUUAAUAUAACGAUAAAAAAUAAUGAUAGUAAAAUAACAAAUAUUUUCAUUUUUUUUUUCUUCUAAAAUUGAAGUAAGAUAGAGAUUUGCUAAUUUUUUAAAAAAAACAUUAAUUGAAAAAGAAUAUGUCAAAAAGAAAAUAAUAAUAUAUUUAUUUGGAAAAUGAUCAUUUUUGACCCAUUAAAUAACAAUAAGGGCAUUUUUGGACCAAACUACGAACGGAUGGGCAUUUUUGUUCCUUUCGCAUAGUUUAAGGACAUUUUUUAGCCAAAGUAUUGACGGUAAGGGCAUUUUUUAGCCAAACUAUAAACGGAAGACAUUUUUGUUCCUUUCACAUAGUCGAAGGGCAUUUUUGACCCUUUUCCCUUUAUUUAAUUACUUAUUAAUCUAUUCAUUCAAAUUUAGGACCAACAAUAUGAAUAAGUUCACAUCGAUAGUAUUUUCUACGAAAAUUAAUAUUCAACACAUUCUUUCUGUUUUUACCUUAUUGAUUUUCAAGAUGAUGUGCUUUCUAUAUAAUAAUAUAGUAACAAUAACAUAUUUAGUCUCAUGUUGUAACUGGAAAGAAUAGUGUGUACACACGACCUUAUGCCUACCUUAAAAGGUAGCUAAAGUCCUUAUGCCUACCUUGAAAGGUAGCUAAAGUUAUAUGAUUUCGAUAGAUCCUCGACUCAAAUAGAAGAGUUUUUUUGUUUAAUAAUGUUAUUAAUUAAUUCGUUUAUUAGGUUUGUCUAAAAGCAUUUGUUUUGAUUGGGAAAUAGCAAAGUCACAUGGUGGUGGAGACCAUUUACUAUAACAGCUAUUAUAUCUUUUUUCUUUCUGUGUUUUGUGCAGUAGGGCAUGUAGGUGACUAAGACCAUCAUGCUUUCAUGUUCUUCUAAUUUUUAAAUUAAUAUUUUUCUUAAUUCUAGUUCCUUUACAACAAAAUCUCUUGGUUUAAGGGAAUAAAUAUAAUUUUUUUUAAAUUUCACAUCCUAUGUUCAGUAGGGUUCGAUUGAAUAUUGACUCACGCCGAAAACUUUUACGUAGGGUAAAGUAUUUUGUAAUCACACUUUUGUAUCUAAAGCUUAAAUUUGAGAUUUCUAUUUUUUUAAAAAUAAAAGAGUAUUUAUCACUCUAUCACAACUCUUACCAUUAUAACGAAUCAAGUUGCUAAUCCAUGUAAAUAAUGACUCAAUCUUUUAUCUAAACUUUUUUAAUGUAUGUAUUGGAUCUCACAAAUUAUUGUAUAAAUGUUUAAUUAGUAGAAACAUAUUUUCUUUCAGUAUGUGCAUUUACCAAUGUGGUAUGAUAGUAUAUUUUAGUAAAGUUCAUUUUAAUAAGUUGUUUUGUAAAUGAAAAAGUUGCAAAAUAUGUUACUCCAAUCUAAAAAUAAUUUAACUUCAUAUUAAAUAUUUUAUUCUUAAUUACAAAUAUUUUGACAUGUUUAAGAUCACAUAUUUCAAUAAAUCUUAUAACCAAACAAACAUUAUGUUAUAUUUAAAAUCAAAAGCUCCAUAACUCUUCGCAUCAUAUAAAUUAAAUAAAUAAAAUAUUAAACAACUUAAACUCGUGAUACUACUAUUCAAAUUAUACAUCUUUUGUUGUCAACUUUGGAUUGGAUCGAUCUAUUAAUCACGAACUCGAGUCAUGAUCAGACAUUGAUACAUGCUCAAGAUAAACUACUUACAUCACUCCUUAUUGAAAUAUGACGAUCCUUUCAGAUCUUGCUAAACACGAAAUAAUUUAUACAUCGAAUAUUUAUUUAUUGUCGGCAUGACACACCUUUCAUUAACUACAGUAAAAAUACAUAGUGUAAAAUCACAUCAAAAUUUCACCAAAUAUAGUAAAAUGUUUUUUUCUACAAUACUAGUCAAGAUGAGAAUGUUUAGGAAUUUGAAGGAAAAAAAAUGCCAACUUGGAUUAUUAUUAUUUUUUAUUUGUGGACAAAUGGCUAUGAGCGUAAAGUCCAAAAUAAUAGUGAAGGGCCGGUGCCGAAAUGGGCCCCCACUAUCACAAUUUACGAUCAUUAACGUCUAAAUGGGCCCCAUAUUCUGACGUGGCACUUCCUUUUUAGAUCCAAAUCCUUUUGGGUUUUCUCUAAAUGGGCCCUACUUUAUUUGGGCCUAGUGGGCCCAUACCUAAGACCCUUUAGAUGCUUUCCAGGUAGUACUACUCGUGCUAUUUGGGCCCCAUUUUCAUUACUUUCUCUGAUUUUGCCACGCUGGAUUUGUGUCAUUUGCCCAUACUCUUAUCCGUAUAUAGUUGACUGAAACAAAGUCGGUGGCACUAAGCUUUCGUUAUACACAAUGUUCGGAGGAAAAUUGAAUUAAUAGCGCUUAUUAUACACAGUAUUAGCUUAUAUCUAUGUAAGAGAUUGUCUUUAUAGUGCAAAUCACGUGACAAUAACUUUACAUAUUACGUCGGCUCUCCGAAAAACUUUAUAUAUAUAUUUGAUGUUGUAGAAAAAAAAGAUAUUGAGAAAAUGAAUAAUCCCCGUAGAGAUGAAUGUUGCUUGAACGAUAUUCUUACAAUGAAGGAGCGAUAACGGAGCCAGGUAGGGUUGAGGGGAUUUGAAUUGACCUUUUUCGAUGGAAAAUGAUAUUGUUUAGGUAUAUAUAGUAGAAUGUUGAACUCUCUUCAGCUUCUUCGUGUUUUUAAAAAUUUAAAAUUUAAAUCAAUAUUAUUAGUUGAAUGAUACUAAACAUGCUGACAUAUUUUUCAGAAUAUAAAAGGCAGAUAGUACUAUUUGAUAUUUGUUGUUACUAUUAUUGACAUUGAUACAAGUACCUAGAGAAUAUGCAAUGCACAUUAAAUUUUAGUGUGGAAUGUUUGAAGCUAGAGUUUUUUUAUUAUUAUAUAUACAAAACUUCAUCAAGGAAUUUCUACCACUAAAAUACAAGUAUAAUUUUAUUUAUUUAUUAUUAUUAUUAUUAUAAGAUCCUCAUUCUUCACCGUCAAUAAACACAAAAUUUUGGACCAUAGCAUUGGGAAAAAUAAAAACAAGAAAAGAGUCGUCAUCAGAAUAUACAUCUCAAAUUAGAGUGAACAAAGCAUAUACCAAUUAGUAAUAAUGCCUCGUUUUCAUAAGACAUAACAUGAGUUUAUAUGAUAAGCACACUUUUGAGCUUAACAAUAUCGUAGUUCAAGAGAUAAAUCAUAAUUAUUAUAGGAUCAGAAUGGACAAUACAUGCUAUGAAGUAUGAACUAUGUUGUGAUAAGGAUCUAUUAGUAUUUAUUUAGUCUACCAAAUGAAUAAUUAGGACCAUAAUUGAAUAUUGUCUCUAUUAUGAUUUUGGAGUUGAAUAACUAGUACUAAUAUUUUAUUUACUUUUUUCCUAUCCCAUAUAUAUGAUGGGGAUCUUUUAAUUUUUUUAAUUUUUGGUUUGGCAAACCAAGUGGUAUAUGUCAAGUGAAUUAUUUAAAAAUUGGAUGUGAAGUGUGAUGGCUCUUGCGUUUGGCUAAUUUCCUUGGAAUAUUUUUGAUUCCUUGUGACCCCACUAUAAUAUAGGAUGCUAUAAUAUACUAUAUUAUAAAGUAUUUUGAAUUUAUGCUCUUUUAACAUUUAACAUGUUACUAUUGCUGACAUGACAUUUUGUCCACCUCUAUAAGGUAGAAAAAUGAUAUUUAUUUAUGAGACUGUCACAUAAUUUCACUACUAACAAAACUAAAUUACCCAUUCCUUCAAAUUUAUUGAUGGUGUUUGACUCUAUACGAAAUUUAAGAAUAAAAUAAAGAUUUUAAAAAUAAUUUAUAGAUAUUUGUGUUACAAGUUAUUUCAUUAAGAAAAUAAAAUGAUGUUUUAAAAGAGGUUUUUUUUUCUAAUUGAUUAAAAAAAAUGUAGCAUAGAUUACGAAGAAAAUAGUUACUCAAGAAAUAUAUACUAACAAUUAAUAUCAAUAAGAUGGCUAAUUGUAUGUGUUUACUUACGUAAGUUCUUUUAAGUAUUUUUGGCUUCAUGCAUGUGUUAUGCAAAAUUCAUUCAUCGAUCUGAUUAAUUUGAAUUUGUCUCAAACUCUUAAAAUGAAAGUAUUUUUCUGAGAAACUUCUCUAUCGUGAAAAUUAAACUCGAGAUUUUUGAUUGACGAGUAAAUGAUACAUCGGAUCCUAGUACUUUUCCUUUUUUACCUAAAUAGUACAUUAGUGAAAAUGUUUUUAAAACAUCUCCAAGAUUAUCAGACCUGUCAAGCUCAUUUUUUCCUCUUUGUUUUUUUCUUGCCACAAUUUACGUGUUGUGUUCUUCUUCUUUCUUGUUUUUGGUUUUUUUGUUAACACAUACAUCAUUAAUUAUAUCAUUUUCAAUAAUAGUAUGCUUUUCUUAUUUAUAAUUUCUUCCUCCCAAACUAUAUGAAAUAAUAUGAGAUUUCGAAUUUUAGCCUUGUUAGAUAUAGAGAACAAAAUGUGAGAUUUUUUUAUAUAAAUUUGAAUUUAAUUGUGUUUAAUUAAUGAUACUGGACAUUAAAUGAAAAACCAACUAAUAUCUCAUAUAUAUAUGAUUAAGUAUUGCUUGGAAAGCUGAUAGAAAUAUACUAACAAAGUGUGGUCGAUGAAUAGGAUAUAUAUAUAUAUAUAUAUAUAUAUAUAAAAGUAAAGAUUUGAUGGUCUAAGUUUUGAAAAUAGCGAAUACUCUUUACUUUCUCUUAAUUGUAUUCUAUAUUAUAUGAAUUUGAAUUAGUCAAAUUAAUAAGUCUUAAAUAUUGAAGACAUAAACAAGAAAAGACAAAAAAGUCUAAAACUUUACUUUCUCUUAAUUGUAUUCAAAUUUUAGAGAUCUUCAAAAAAUGAAAAAGUUACAUCAAUAGGAUUCAUAACGCAUUUUUUGUUUUUUCCCAAUGGGAAAAAUCUAUCAAACUCAAAAAGGACUUUUCAUAAUGCCACUUAAGAUACAUUACAAAUUUGCAACAAUGAUGGAUUACUCCAAUUGAUCGACGUGCCUUAUUCUUGAAUUAUAUUGUAUAAAAUCUUUUAAAUUCGAUUAUAACUUUGUGAACUAUAUAUUCAAGUUUUUUCUUUGAAUUUGUUGUUAUUCGUUACGUACAAUAGUUCACAAAUCACAUAGGAGAUGUAAACUAUACAAGUCAAACCCGAUCACAUGACGAGCUUAACCGAAAAGGCGUUGACAAGAGAAAUUGAUCCCUGAUAUUUUUUAUGAAAUAUCACCUGUUGCACCAACUCAGUCACCCUUACGAAUAAUAUAUAUUCAAGUUAUAUAUAAGUCUACGAAUUGAAAAUCACUUCAUUCUACAACUUCUUUGCCAAUGAUGAUGACCUAAAAAUAAUACGUGGAGGCAAAUUCAAGAUUGUUAUAUUUAUUUAUUUUUUGAAAAAACAACAACAUAAUAAUAAGGACUGCUCAUUUUUUUCCUAAAAUUGUGGACAUUAAUCGACAAGCACCUUUAAAAUUUAAUGAUUCAUGUUGGAGUCUUUUUUUUCACUUUAGCAAAAACUUGUAAAACCAUAUGGUCCAUGUUAGAAAGCCUGUCUAGUUUCCAAUGUUAAUUUGAUAAUUUUCUCAUAAAAGAUUUAAGUUGUAUAUUUUUUUUGUUAUAAAUUAGGUGCGGAAUCAGAAUUUUCACUAAGAUAACUUAAAAAAUAUAUAAAAAAACACAAAUCAAGAAGUAAGAAAUUCAACAUACAUAAGAAUAGUUUUGACCUUGUUCCUAGUUGCUUCGCCCAUAUAGGACAUUGUAGGUGAAUCUAAUAAAAAGGUUAGUUCAAUGCAUAAAUUAUAUCACAUUUACAUAAGGUACGGGAAAAAUCGUACUGUAAAAAGAAUGUGUAAUUUAGACAAUUUACCUUAACACAAGUAUCAUUGAUAAAUUGAUUUCACGACUUGAAUUCUUGACGUACAAUAUUUACAAGUCGUAUAAAGACAACUUCACCAUACUUUAGAAUCAAUCAUUUGUUAAACUCAACAAAAAAAGACUAAACUAUUUGGCAAUCAAAACAUCGUAAAAAGAAAGGAAGAUAAAAUCCUAGGUUUCUUUCCUUAAAAGUUGGUCUGUUAGAUUUGUAAUUAUUUCAUCAAUUUCAAUUACUUGACUGUCUGUCAACAACAUUUGAGAAACUUUUAUCUACUUUUAAUUUGUUUUUAUUAUGAUGAUAUGUGAAUCUUUUUUCUGCCCUUGUUAAUUAAGCAAUAUGAUUUGGUUUUUCAAAAGGGCCAAAGCGAUUAUUUGAUAGACUUAGUGGAGUCGAAAAAUCGUUGAAUUAUGUUACCAACAAGCUACGUUACGAUAAAUUUUAUUGAUGAUAAGCCAGAGGAAGGUGAGGAUGACGUCAAGUCAUCAUGCACCUUAUGUCCUGAGCGACAUAUAUGAUACGACAACCAGGACAAAGGGGUUGUGAUCUCGCAAAGGUGAGCAAACAAAAAUUCAUCCUGAGUUCAAAUUAUAGAGUACAACUCAUCAACAUGAAAUCAGAAUUAAUUACUAGUAAUUAUAUAUCGGUUAACCAUACUGACGGAAAGUCCAUUGGAAAUUUCCUUUUUUUAGUAGUGAACUAGAAAUGCAAUAUGAUUAAAUGUUACCUAUCCAAAAAUACAUUAUUGAGAAUAAUAGGGGCCUCCCUCUUUUAUAAAGUUGUUUUCAAGAUAGAUACCAUCUUAGUUUUCUUAUUUAACCAAAACACGUAAGUUUUUAUCGAAAAUUGAUGUACAUUUAAUGUGGGUUCAAAUGUCCAAAUAUUAAUGUUUGAUGUAAGAGUUUUUUUUUUUUAAAAAAAAAAAAUAAAAUAAUAAUAAUAAUAAUAUAUAUAUAUAUAUGAUACUCAGGCUAAGGGUCAAGUUGAUAAUUUUUCUUAUAUCUCCCCCCCCCCCCCCCCCUUCGAAGCCUAGGUAUCAUAUACACGUCCAAAAUAAAGAGCUUUGACAAGAAGAAAAGCACCAAUACCUAUUAAGUGAAUAUCUAAAAUUGUGAUCAUUUUAUUUCGAUCUUUUCGAACAUAACCACAGAAGGGAAAAGAUUCUUCAAGUGUAUUAUCGAAGGGAAAAGAUUCUUCAAGUGUAUUAUCAGGUCCCAUAAGUGCAUAAUAAAUGUCACCAAAGUCCACUACAAAAGAAAUUAAAUGAAGUAUUCUAGAUGCAAAGUAUGGAAAGAUGUCUAUAACUUCUCCCCCGGGCCUACCCAACCUAUAGAAUAGCUACACGAGGAAGUAAAAUCAAUCUUAUUUAUACAUAGGCUUCUCAGGUACGAAAUGAUAUAUAUAUAUAUAAUCACUCUGUAAUCUACGUAAAAUUAAUGUAAAUAUCGAUUAUAACUUGCUAUAACUGAGCAUAUAUCGAUAACCGACUACAACUUAUCACGCUUAAAUGGGUAAACAAAAUUUUACUGACUAAAAAUGUCAACAUCUCUAACUAAUAUAAUUAUGAAGGUGGGUCCAUUUAAGGCCCAUAUGCAUUUGGUCUUAUAAAAAGGGAGAGGGACCCUAUUGGGAAUUUGGGUUGGAUAAUUUUCUUCACUAGUCAUAUUUCAUGGCCCAAUUAUGUAUAAUAAUACAUGCUUAAUUCAUAUAUAAUAUAUGUAUAAUUGUGUAUAGUUAAUAUAGUAAUAUGUGUAUAAUCGUGUAUAGUUAAUAUAUAUUAUAUCGAUUAGAAAAUAAAUGUCACUAGAGUCUUUAGCCACUCUGGAUUGCAUGACAUUUAAUUAAUUGUUGCUAAAUAUUUUUGUGGCAGUAAAUAAAUUUAUUACCGCAAAAAAAUUCUUUUUGGUGUAGUGAAUGACGAUAGACAUACCAUUUAACUAUGGAACUCAAGAGUUCUCUUUAACAACUAUAGAAAAGAUGAAAUGAUAUUUAUUUAUCGAUAGGACCUUGUCCUUAUCCGCAUGCACGAUCGCACCUCAUUUUAUUGAAAAAUUAACCUAAAUAGUUGUUUACUCAACCACUUACAGUAAAAAUAGGUGGUAGAUGUACAAUGUAUAUUUGAUUCAUAUUGAAUAUGUGUAUAAUCGUGUAUAGUCUAUGUAUAUUGAUUAGGAAAAUUGAACAAUUAAUCCAACCAGCUAUUGGUGUAAAGAUUUCGUUUUCAUUCACACUUUGGGUAAACCACUAUCUUGUAAUAUUUGAAGUCCCAAAUUCCAACAUUUUUUUCUUAAAACAUAGUCAUGUUUUGGUGCCUACAUUGUGAAUUUGUUACAAAAAUGGACACAAAACUAAAUAACAUUCAUGCAAAUCCAACAAUGUAUUUCCAAGGAAAUGUCAUUCAUCACAAUGAAAUGAUUUAACCAUACAACUUUUGAUUACUGAUUGGUACCAACAAAUUAUGUGUAGAUAUGUUUGGAAAAUGUCCAAAAGAUCACAUGAGCUUAGAUAUAUAGUGCUUGGUUGGGAUUUAAGGAUAUUCAAUUUCCACGUAAGGAUAAGUCGAAGGUCUAUCAAAAACAGUCUCUCUACCUUCAUAAGAAAAGGGUAAGGUGGCGUACACACCAUCCUCCCAAACCCUACUUGUGAAAUUACUCAACGUAUGUUGUUUCUUCCACUCAUCAAUCUAUUACUUAUUGUUUCACAACAAUGGCGAAAUCAUCCCUGUCUAAGCGAUGUCAAUCAACACCUUUUUACUCGAAAAUUACACUAUAUAGUUAACUAUCUUAUAUGUUAAAGCUCUUUGAAUUGUUACUUCUUUAUAUUUUGAUUUUCCUUAAAUCCUGACCCCGUCAUUGAUUUCAGAUACUCUUCCUCCCUCAUCAAUAUAGAAAAAGAUGAGUUUUCUCCCUCAUCAAUAUAGAAAAAGAUGAGUUUUCAAAUUUAUAUUUUGCUUGACCUAUAUAGCUAUAUUUAUUCCCUAGGCCAUGAUACUAUAUCAAAUAUUCCAAUCUUGCAAUGGUUGAAACCUUAAUGAACAUGUUUUGCUUUAUUCUCUUCAUAUAUGUGAAACUCAUGUAAUGAACAAAGUGUUGUAUAUAUAGCCAAAUUAUUUCACAGUCAUACACAUCCAAUUUUCUUGAAAAUGAGUUCACUAAAUGUUUUCCCUUCUACCUUGAUCUCUAAUAAAAAUUCCCAAUAAUUUUCCAAGAAAAAACUCCCAAUUUUCUCUCCAUCAAAAAAAGAAACUACAACUUCUUUAUGACCAAAAAUAUGUUUCUAGUUUUAUUCAAUUAAACCAAGUUUCAUUCAAAAGAAAUUGCCUAUUAUACCCUUUGAAAUGUAAUAAAUCAGACAAUUCAGAAAGUAAUAAUCCAGAAGAAGACCCAAAAGCUAUGGAAACAGUACAAAAACUUUAUAAAGCACUUAAAAAUAAAAAUCUUAUUGAAUUGUCUGAUAUAAUUGGAGAAGAAUGUAGAUGUAUUAGCAAUGUUGCCUCCUCUUUACAAACUUUCUAUGGCAAGGAGGUAUGUUAAACUCUUUAUCUCUCCAAUGUGAUUUUCGAGGAAAUGAUCUUCUAUGCCCAUUUACAAAAAUCUCUUGUGAUUUAUUUAUUAAAAAAAUCUUACUACUUAUUUUGUUUAUUUUUCUCCUUGAAGCAAGUAAUUGAUUUCUUCAAAUCAAUCAUAAAGCUCCUUGGGAACAAUAACUUUGAGAUUGUUUUCAAACCUACUACACAUGAUGGAACACAUGUUGGGGUUGCUUGGGAAUUAGGUUAGCCCAUUAUUCAAUCGAUAUUCAAAAUUUACUAACUCGACUAAUUCUGAAUUCUUCGAUUACCAUUUAUUUUUAUUGCAGAGUGCAGUGACACUCAUAUUCCUAUUGUGAAAGGUUUUGGAUUCUAUCAUUGUCAUUAUUACAAGGGUCGUAUGAUGAUAAGGUAAAGAGGAGGGAAAAAACAUGUUAAUAUCAAGAUUCCCUUUAUCCUUGUUUUUAUAAUCAAGAGGAUUCGAAACUCAAUAGUUAAUGAAACCAUCUAUGUAAAACUCGAUGAAUAAUGAAUCUGUUGGUACAAACUAACAAUUUCCUUCGAAUGACAGGAAUGUGGAGAUGAUCAUGGAGCCACUCCUUCAAAUUGAGCCACUUAGAUUGGUGAGUGAUAAUGUUCAAGAGUCUGAACAAAUAAUUCUUUGAUCACAAUCUAUUCAUAUAUCUUUUAAAUAUUUUGUGUUCGAGUAAUACAUAUGAUAGCAAAAUUAUAGAUACAUGGUCUACAAUUUUAGCAAGUACUAAUAUAAUAUUCUCUGUGUUUUUAUUUCAAUUCACCAGAAAAUAUCAUCCUUCCUUUUGAGAGCAAUUCAAAAGAUGACUCCAAAUAUUUUGAAGGGAAAGAUGAAAGAGGCUACGAAAAUCUUGUUUAUGAUUCUACUAUUUGUAGCUUCGCUGUAUUUGAUUAAGAACUUUAUGUAAUUCACUAGUAAUUUUCUUUUUUGAUUCGUAGCGAUUCUGAGUUUCCAAACCCCACUUGUGGAAUUUUACUGGAUAUGUUAUUGUAGCGAUUUUGAGUUGCUUCUUGUGUGAUGAAUCUUCAUAGAUGGCAGAAACUUUUGGUGCCAUCUAUGAAGAUUAUAAUCACAGAACAAGCAACUCAAAAUCGAUAUGCUAUAAAUAAGCAUUAGGAAAGAGACAUAACAACGAUGUUUAAAAUGUCACUCCUCUGGUCGUCUUCUUCUAUUCAAAUUGUAACUAGUCAUAGGAGAUCAUUUCCUCAACAUCGGCAACGAAACCACUAAGAAAACAGGAAUUUUAUAUCAACAACGAAAGAGAAAUAUACUCUCCAAUGUAUAUUAUAGGUCUGGCAUGUACAUCUUAAUUCCAAAAACAACUUUCCGCCAUAAGGCCGGGAGCAGAUCAAUCCAGAUAUAAUAUGUGUAUAGUUAAUAUAGUAAUAUGUGUAUAAUCGUGUAUAGUUAAUAUAUAUUAUAUCAAUUAGAAAAUAAAUGUCACUAGAGCCUUUAGCGACUCUGGAUUGCAUGACAUUUAAUUAAUUGUUGCUAAAUAUUUUUGUGGCAGUAAAUAAAUUUAUUACCGUAAAAAAAUUCUUUUUGGUGUAGUGAAUGACAAUAGACAUACCAUUUAACUAUGGAACUCAAGAGUUUUCUUUAACAACUAUAGAAAAUCUGAAAUGGUAUUUGUUUAUAGAUAGGACCUAGUCCUUAUCCACAUGCACAAUCGAUCGCACCUCAUUUUAUUGAAAAAAAUUAACCUAAAUAGUUGUUUACUCAACCGCUUAAAGUAAAAAUAGCUGGUAGAUGUACAACGUAUAUUUGAUUCAUAUUGAAUAUGUGUAUAAUCGUGUAUAGUCUAUAUAUAUUGAUUAGGAAAAUUGAACAAUUAAUCCAACCAGCUAUUUGUAUAAAGAUUUCUUUUUCAUUCACACAUUGGGAAACCACUAUCUUGUAUUAUUUGAAGUCCCAAAGUCCAACAUUUUUUUCUUAAAACAUGGUCAUGUUAACAUGUUUUGGUGCCUACAUUGUGAAUUUGUUACAAAAAUGGACACAAAACUAAAUAACAUUCAUGCAAAUCCAACAAUGUAUUUCCAAGGAAAUGUCAUUCAUCACAAUGAAAUGCUUUAACCAUACAACUUUUGAUUACUGAUUGGUACCAAAAAAUUAUGUGUAGAUAUGUUUGGAAAAUGCCCAAAAGAUCACAUGAGCUUAUUAGAUAGUGCUUGGUUGGGAUUUAAGGAUAUUCAAUCUCCACGUAAGAAUAAGUCGAAUGUCUAUCGAAAACAGUCUCUCUACCUUCAUAAGAUAAGGGCAGGACUGCGUACACACCAUCCUCCCAAACCCUACUUAUGAAAUUACUCUGCAUAUGUUGUUUCUUCCACUCAUCAAUCUUUGGCAAAAUCAUCCUUGUCUAAGAUAUGUCAAUCAACACCUUUUUGCUCGAAAAUUACACUAUAUAGUUAAGUAUCUUAUAUCUAUGUUAAAACUCACUGAAUUGUUACUUCUUUAUAUUUUAAUUUUCCUUGGUAAAAAUUCCUAACCCCAUCAUUGAUUUCAGAUACUCUUCCUCCCUCAUCAAUAUAGAAAAAAGAUGAGUUUUCAAAUUUAUAUUUUGCUUGACCUAUAUAGCUAUAUUUAUUCCCUAGGCCAUGAUACUAUAUCAAAUAUUCCAAUCUUGCAAUGGUUGAAACCUUAAUGAACAUGUUAUGCUUUAUUCUCUUCAUACAUGUGAAACUCAUGUUAUGAACAAAGUGUUAUAAAUAUAUAGCCAAAUUAUUUCAUAUUCAUACACAUCCAAUUUUCUUGAAAAUGAGUUCACUAAAUAUUUUCCCUUCUACCUUAAUCUCUAAUAAAAAAUUCCCAAUAAUUUUCCAAGAAAAAAACUCCCAAUUUUCUCUCCAUCAAAAAAAGAAACUACAACUUCUUCAUGACCAAAAAUAUGUUUCUAGUUUUAUUCAAUUAAACCAAGUUUCAUCCAAAAGAAAUUGCAUAUUAUACCCUUUGAAAUGUAAUAAAUCAGAUAAUUCAGAAAAUAAUAAUCCAGAAGAAGACCCAAAAGCUAUGGAAACAGUACAAAAACUUUAUAAAGCACUUAAAAAUAAAAAUCUUAUUGAAUUGUCUGAUAUAAUUGGAGAAGAAUGUAGAUGCAUUAGCAAUGUUGCCUCUUCCUUACAAACUUUCUAUGGCAAGGAGGUAUGUUAAACUCUUUAUCUCUCCAAUGUGAUUUUCGAGGAAAUGAUCUUCUAUGCCCAUUUACGAAAAUCUCUUGUGAUUUAUUUAUUAAAAAAAUCUUACUAUUUAUUUUGUUUAUUUUUCUCCUUGAAGCAAGUAAUUGAUUUCUUCAAAUCAAUCAUAAAACUCCUAGGGAAUAAUAACUUUGAGAUUGUUUUCAAACCAACUACACAUGAUGGAACAGAUGUUGGGGUUGCUUGGAAACUAGGUUAGCCCAUUGUUCUAUACUUUUAUUCUUUCAAAACGAUAUUUGAAAUUUACUGAAUCGACUAAUUUGAAUUCUUCGAUUACCAUUUAUUUUUAUUGCAGAAUGCAGUGACACUCAUAUUCCUAUUGUGAAAGGUUUUGGAUUCUAUCAUUGUCAUUAUUACAAGGGUCGUAUGAUGAUAAGGUAAAGAGGAGGGAAAAAACAUGUUAAUAUCAAGAUUUCCUCUAUCCUUGUUUUUAUAAUCAAGAGGAUUCGAAACUCGAUAGAUAAUGAAAUCAUCUAUGUAAAAUUCGAUGAAUAAUGAAUCUAUUAGUGCGAACUAACGAUUUUCCCAUUGAAUGACAGGAAUGUGGAGAUGAUCAUGGAGCCACUCCUUCAAAUUGAGCCACUUAGAUUGGUGAGUGAUAAUGUUCGAGAGUCAAACAAAUUAUUCUUGGAUCGUCAUAUUUUCAUAUAACUUCUAAAUAUUAUGGAUGGUGUACCUUUUAUGUAGUUUCUAGAUAUGUAAAUAUUAUUAAAAAAAACUAAAAAAACUCUAUGUCUAAAUGUACGGUCAAAAUUAAGAAAUUUGAAUCUCAAAAACGAGUAAUACAUAUGAUAACAAAAUUAUAGAUACAUGGUCUACAAUUUUAGCAAGUACUAAUAUAAGAUUAUUUGUAUUUUUAUUUCAAUUCACCAGAAAAUAUCAUCCUUCCUUUUGAGAGCAAUUCAAAAGAUGACUCCACAUAUUUUGAAGGGAAAGAUGAAAGAGGCUCUGCAAAUCUCGCUUAUGACUCUACUAUUUGUAGCUUUGCUGUAUUUGAUUAAGAACUUCAUGUAAUUCACUAGUAAUUUUCUUUUUUGAUUCGUAGCGAUUUUGAGUUUCCAAUCCCACUUGUGGGAUUAUACUGGAUAUGUUAUUGUAGCGAUUCUGAGUUGCUUCUUGUGUGAUGAAUCUUCAUAGAUGGCAGAAACUUUUGGUGCCAUCUAUGAAGAUUAUAAUCACAGAACAAGCAACUCAAAAUCGAUAUGCUAUAAAUAAGCAUUAGGAAAGAGACAUAACAACGAUGUUUAAAAUGUCACUCCUCUGGUUGUCUUCUUCUAUUCAAAUUGUAACUAGUCAUAGGAGAUCAUUUCCUCAACAGGGGCAACGAAAGCACUAAGAAAACAGGAAUUUUAUAUCAAAGACGAAAGAGAAAUAUACUCUCCAAUGUAUAUUGUAGACCUGACAUGUACAUCUUAAUUUCAACGAGUUCGAACAAGCUAAGGAUCUGUUAAUGUUCCUACUAUCCAUAUAUAUCAAGAAUGCCAGGAUUUUACAAGAACAAAGGAGGCUAGUGAACCUAGAUCAAGGCCGUGGCAUAAUUACAAAAACAACUUUCCGCCAUAAGGCCGGGGAGCAGAUCAAUCCAGAUAUCUAAUUACAUACCAUGAUGUCUAACUAUGUUAAUAAACUGAACUUACCUAAAAACCAAGAUACAUCUUCGGAAACAUUAGCGUGUCAUCGAACAACUUGAGGUGAAAUACCUGCAAAAAACCACAGCUUGAAGUUCAAUACAAAUGCUUAUGGGUAUCGAAAAGUAACAUAUGAAGAUACUCAAGUCAAGCAUAAUCUCGUAUAAGAUAUUAGAAAAUUACUUGAGGUACAAUGAUUUUGUCAUUGUCACUAAGAACGUGUGUCAUAGCUCAUGUAUUGAACGAACGAGAAGAAAUUCUGGGGUUGUCCAGGAGUUAAUUUAUUUGUGCAUAUGAAAGGGUUAAUGCACCAUGGCUUUUCACCUACCAUAAUUAUGUAGACGUAUAGUCAUUGCUAGACAAAAUGACGACCUGCCAGCAUCUCAGGUAAUUCUGUGGCAGAAACACUUUCACAUUGUAGGAGUUCCUGAAGCUUUGCGUCACACACGAUCAUCGAAGAAUUCACAGGAUCCUGCAAGCAGAAAUGCAGAUAUAUAUGCUAAAGAUGCAGAGAUAUGUGAUGAUAUUGCUUAGAGAUAUUAAAAACUUGUAGCGAGGUAGAAAAUGAGAAAGGAACUAAGAGUAGAGAAAACAAACACAUGCCCUCUGUAUAACCAAAACAAAAGAAGUAGAUUAUAGACAUCUACCUCAAGUUGGUUAAGCUUUAUAUACUCCCAAAUACGUUUCACAGCAUCUGUUUGGAGAAUCUCCUUUUCUUCACUUCCAAAAAAUUUGGCGAGCGCAUCAGAUAUUGUAACAGUGGAUGAGACAGGUUGUUCAACAUUAGUAGCCACAGAAUCAGCUUCAACCUUCAAUCUUUUAGCUUGAUCAGCUUGUUCUGCAGGGGUUGGAGAGGAGAACGUUUUCAUUAAAAUAGUUAUAAACCCUUCAAACUGUAGCUAUUUGUGGAUUUUUCCCUUUUCUUCUUUUUCGAUGUACUUUUUAUAAGUGUGAAAAUAAGAGAUAUAUUAUUACAAACGGAUAUCAUUUAUUAUUUGACAUACUUGAAGGAUCGAGUGCGGUGAUAUGUUUAGCCAGCAGCUUAUUCAUCUUGAACAUGUCGGUGCAGUCUGUUUCAAAGAGUGCUCGCAGAGCAUCGUUGCAGAUAAUCUUUCGCUUGUUACCAGGAUCCUGUAAGUUGUGUUUCCUGAUGUACACCCACAGCUGCUUCACAAUCUGAUCGAGCAAAGAAAGAUGUAUAUAUGAUCUAUGUAAUAACAGCUAACAACAACUCGGGAACUUAUGAUAUGACAAUCAUACCUCUGUCCUGGGCAUUGUGGGUUGACCAACAAUAGCCUGAAGUUCAGGUGAAACACCACAGACUUUGUUAAGACCACCUGGUCCACCUCUCCUUUUUGUUCCAGAAGUAGCACUGGACAGAACAAAAACCGUAUCAAAUACAGGAUGCUUUGGAUAGUGAAACCAUAUAAACGAUUCGCUCAACUCUUAUAACUAGGGGGAGAUGUAUAUGUUUACUUAACUGAACCAGAUAUCAUUUAUUGAACAUUUCAGACAAAUGAAAGAACUAACUCCCCAAGGUUCAAAUUCACUUUAGAAAACGAAAAAAGGCGAAAAACAAUAUAAAAUAGUUACAACUUACAACUACCUACUUAAGAAAGGUAAAUGUGACGUAUUAUUGAUUGAUUGAGACAAAACAAUUCCCUCAAUACAACUUAACACUAUCAAUCAUGUACAAGUAGUGAAGAAGUAUAGAGUACUUUAUUGGUUUCCAAGGGAACAAAGUAACUUCAUAUAUAAAGAUACGGGUUUCCAGGUUUAGAUCGAAAUUACAUCCCCUAAAUAAUACCAAUUCGUGUUCCAUUUGUGCGUUUACGACAUCCAUUUCUUCUGAUUAUGUCGAUGACCAUUAGUACAUAGAAUUCACUCUCUAGUUUUUUAUCCAACAAUGAUUUAAAUACUUUGUCUACUCUUGUAAGGUUGUAAUUGGCCAAGUAAUAGCCCUAUACUAUCAAUGUCGCUACAAUUUUAUUUUUAUUUUUAUAGUCAUGGUGUCCGGGCCAGCUUUGAUGCAAAACUGCUACCAAAUUUGAACACGUAAUUACGUAAACAUAGGAAACGAUUAAAUAACGUAAUCAAAUGACAUAAGAGCAUAGUAUUAAUUUAGAAAAAAAAUAAAAAGACUACCCCUUUUUACUCCACCUAUAUUCGCCCAACUACCAGCACCAACUUUAAAUUAGCAAAAAAAAAAAAAACAUAUUCUUAAAUAGUAUUUUCAGUAAAAUUAAUUUUCAUCUUACAUUGAAAGAGUUAAAAAGACAAACUUAUCCUCGCCGAAUUAUACUACAAUGAAAUACACCAUACCUUUCCUUAGGGGCAGAAGCGACAUUUGACGACGCAUGUUGAGCUGGAGCAGCAGCGGUUCUCACCAUCACCGGCACCGGAGCUUGUUGCUGCACUUGCGACUGCAGUGACGGUGGUUGCCGGUGCUGAUGCUGCGGAGACAGCAGUGGAGGUACAUGGUGCUGAAAGUAGAGCUGCUGUUGUUGGUGCUGGUGAUGAUGAUGUUGUUGUUGAAGGGCAAAAUGGGAAUACAACUGCUGUUGAGCUUGAGUGUUAGCGAAUUGUGGGUGGUUUAGGAGGGUAAAAUGGUUUUUAACCAUCAACGGAGGAGAAAUAAGCUGCGGUGGCUGUGAUCGGAGAAGACUGAUCUGAUCACUGAUAAACUCCGCUUUAUGUGAAAGGUCCUGUCCAAGUUUUGCUCCGAGCUGUUGUACGACGCCGUUUAACGAUGUAACGGCGUUAGGGUCCGAUUGACGGAGCAAAAUCUCAACACCUCUAGCUAUUUCCUGGUCCGACACCAUAGCUUUGCUUUCAUACAGUAACGGUGAAGUUAACGGCGUUAAUGUUCUCUCUCUCUCUGUUCUUCUUCUUCUUCUUUCUCUCUGUUCAAGCUCACUCUCUUUAUCUGUUAAUGGCUGUCUCUCUCUCUCUUAUCUGAUAUAUAAGUAUUUAAUGACGAAUAUACCCUUGCUUAGUUUAAAAGUUUGUUUACUACUUUUUGCACUUUUUCCAUGCUCUCUACUCUCUAAGGGUCCCAUUUCUGACCUUUUUUCUUUUCUUUUUAAAUAAUUUCGUAUCCGAAUCAAUUUAUACGCAUUUUAAUUAAUUUUGCAUAAUAUAUGCAAGGGAAAAGGGUCAAAAAUACCCCCCAACUUUGGUUUAUUGUUUGACUUUACCCUCGCCGUUAAAAUGAAGUUAAUUUUACCCCUCCCGUUACUAAUUUCACCAAAAUUACCCCUCAUUUAGACGGAAUCCCCAAAAUUGAUCCAAAUUGACCCAAUUACCCGGAUUUUAAAAAAAAAAACCUAUUCCCUAUUUUUAACCCAAUGACCCGACCCCCUCUAGGAUAACCCGGUACCAAUUANNNNNNNNNNNNNNNNNNNNNNNNNNNNNNNNNNNNNNNNNNNNNNNNNNNNNNNNNNNNNNNNNNNNNNNNNNNNNNNNNNNNNNNNNNNNNNNNNNNNNNNNNNNNNNNNNNNNNNNNNNNNNNNNNNNNNNNNNNNNNNNNNNNNNNNNNNNNNNNNNNNNNNNNNNNNNNNNNNNNNNNNNNNNNNNNNNNNNNNNNNNNNNNNNNNNNNNNNNNNNNNNNNNNNNNNNNNNNNNNNNNNNNNNNNNNNNNNNNNNNNNNNNNNNNNNNNNNNNNNNNNNNNNNNNNNNNNNNNNNNNNNNNNNNNNNNNNNNNNNNNNNNNNNNNNNNNNNNNNNNNNNNNNNNNNNNNNNNNNNNNNNNNNNNNNNNNNNNNNNNNNNNNNNNNNNNNNNNNNNNNNNNNNNNNNNNNNNNNNNNNNNNNNNNNNNNNNNNNNNNNNNNNNNNNNNNNNNNNNNNNNNNNNNNNNNNNNNNNNNNNNNNNNNNNNNNNNNNNNNNNNNNNNNNNNNNNNNNNNNNNNNNNNNNNNNNNNNNNNNNNNNNNNNNNNNNNNNNNNNNNNNNNNNNNNNNNNNNNNNNNNNNNNNNNNNNNNNNNNNNNNNNNNNNNNNNNNNNNNNNNNNNNNNNNNNNNNNNNNNNNNNNNNNNNNNNNNNNNNNNNNNNNNNNNNNNNNNNNNNNNNNNNNNNNNNNNNNNNNNNNNNNNNNNNNNNNNNNNNNNNNNNNNNNNNNNNNNNNNNNNNNNNNNNNNNNNNNNNNNNNNNNNNNNNNNNNNNNNNNNNNNNNNNNNNNNNNNNNNNNNNNNNNNNNNNNNNNNNNNNNNNNNNNNNNNNNNNNNNNNNNNNNNNNNNNNNNNNNNNNNNNNNNNNNNNNNNNNNNNNNNNNNNNNNNNNNNNNNNNNNNNNNNNNNNNNNNNNNNNNNNNNNNNNNNNNNNNNNNNNNNNNNNNNNNNNNNNNNNNNNNNNNNNNNNNNNNNNNNNNNNNNNNNNNNNNNNNNNNNNNNNNNNNNNNNNNNNNNNNNNNNNNNNNNNNNNNNNNNNNNNNNNNNNNNNNNNNNNNNNNNNNNNNNNNNNNNNNNNNNNNNNNNNNNNNNNNNNNNNNNNNNNNNNNNNNNNNNNNNNNNNNNNNNNNNNNNNNNNNNNNNNNNNNNNNNNNNNNNNNNNNNNNNNNNNNNNNNNNNNNNNNNNNNNNNNNNNNNNNNNNNNNNNNNNNNNNNNNNNNNNNNNNNNNNNNNNNNNNNNNNNNNNNNNNNNNNNNNNNNNNNNNNNNNNNNNNNNNNNNNNNNNNNNNNNNNNNNNNNNNNNNNNNNNNNNNNNNNNNNNNNNNNNNNNNNNNNNNNNNNNNNNNNNNNNNNNNNNNNNNNNNNNNCUCCCGUUACUAAUUUCACCAAAAUUACCCCUCAUUUAGACGGAAUCCCCAAAAUUGAUCCAAAUUGACCCAAUUACCCGGAUUUUUUAAAAAAAAACCUAUUCCCUAUUUUUAACCCAAUGACCCGACCCCCUCUAGGAUAACCCGGUACCAAUUAACCCAAUUACCCAUUUCCAUUUACCCAUGCCCUCUCUUUAGAUAAUCUCAUUUUCUCCCAAAUUUACCCAUUAUUGUAUUUUCGAUUCAUAUAUAUCUUGCUAAUUAUAUUUGAAAGCGGACUUGUAUAGGGGCUGGACCUCAAUUGCUAAAUAUUGUGCGAAGAAGCUGCCUACCACUACUGAAGUUAUGGCAAUUGACAAUGGGAAAGUUUUGUUUAGAAGAACCUCUACUUCCCAACUCAAAGGUUUGAUGAUACUUCAAGAUUGCUUGCACAUUUGAGCUAAAAUGCUUUUGGAAUGGAAAAUAGUUACUCCCUCAUGGAUUAUAUUGAAAAGGAAAGUGCUUUUGGGAGAAAAUGAGAUUAUCUAAAGAGAGGGCAUGGGUAAAUGGAAAUGGGUAAUUGGGUUAAUUGGUACCGGGUUAUCCUAGAGGGGGUCGGGUCAUUGGGUUAAAAAUAGGGAAUAGGUUUUUUUUUAAAAAAUCCGGGUAAUUGGGUCAAUUUGGAUCAAUUUUGGGGAUUCCGUCUAAAUGAGGGGUAAUUUUGGUGAAAUUAGUAACGGGAGGGGUAAAAUUAACUUCAUUUUAACGGCGAGGGUAAAGUCAAACAAUAAACUAAAGUUGGGGGGUAUUUUUGACCCUUUUGGUAUUGAAUAAUUUGGUUUAUUAAAGUUUGGACAAAUAGAGUUAUCUACUCUCUCUGUCGCAUAUGAGAUGGACGUUUUACUAAAAAUAUUUAUCAUCUAUUAUUUGAUCGUUUAUUAAAUUAAGAUAUAAUUAAUUAAUUUUGUUUUAUCAUUUUAUUCCUAUAAUUAAUAUAGCCUUUGAAAGUCUAAAUGAAUUUUGAAGAUUUAAGAAUUUAUUUUUCAGGAGGGUAAUAAAUAUGAACAAAGGAAAAAAAAAUAAAGUUGAGCAAUCUAUUAAUGACUUCUUAAUCACAGUGUAAAAUAGAAAGUGUUCAUCUAAUAUGAGACGAAGAGAGUACUUCUUUAUGCUUUGCUGAAAUUCAAAUAUGAAAUCUCAUGAUUUUUAAUUUACUUGAUUGAUUACUAGAAGAUUUUUUAUGAUGACCAACUUUCUUGCAUAUCGACUAAUUACACGGGACAUCUAUCACCUCCCACCAACAAUAGGUAAUAUGUAACUCUGUACACCAAGGCUAGGACAAAUGAGAAGAAGUGUUUUUUAUUCCCGUUGAAAAUUUGAAUCUGCGACUUCAUAAUUCUCAACCACUUCAUUGAUCACUAGGUCACACUCUUGGAUGUCAUUAGACAAUACUUUUCAGUGCCAUAACCUUAUUUUUAAUUUGUAUCAAAAAAAUAUUCUUUGUCAAGGUUAAAGAAUUUUAUUAUCUUCACAAAAUAAGAAUAAAACUGUAGACCUGUAUGCACAUAUUUUUCCAGAAUUCACCUAUUAUUAUGCAUAUUCUUACUAUUAUUAUUAUAGAGUUUAGUCGAACACCUUGACGUAAAAUGAAACGAACGAUGUGUUAGCAUCCAGAAGAAGCAAGGUUAUAAAUGUAAUUAUGUGAAGUGUGGACCUUUGAUUUUAGAGAAAAAAAGUAAAAGAAUAGUACUAUUUGAGAGGAUAAAGAUAAAGUGGUGGGCCCAAAAGAGGUUGGGCUAAAAUUGGAAUUGUCUUGUCUUUCCCAACAGUUUUUGAAUUAUUUUUUGCUCUUUUUUUUGGGUUUAAGUUUACUUAAAUACCAUUGAGGCCAUGUUACUCUACCAGGAAAAAGUGAGGUUAUUUUGGGAAAUAAUGAGUGUUUGCGUGUCACAGCUAUAUGCCGUUUGAUUAAGAUUGGGUUUGGUCAACAACUUGAUGAAGCUCACAAUCUUUGCAAUGCAAAACAAGAUUUUCCAUAAACAUAGAUAAUACUUAUCACUUUACGUUUAAUCCGAGGUCUCGAAUUUGAGUUUGACAUAAAAAAGAGUGAACACAUACUUUUUUUCUUAAAUGGACUUUGAGUGAGGCAUCAUUAAAUUAAUUAGUAUUUCAACGUAAAUAUCAAACAUUCAGCAUCAAGAAAAAAAAAUGACAGAGAAACUAUGUACUCUCAUUUUUUAAUUCAUUCUUUAUCCUAUAGUUUCUUUCUUACUAAUCUUUUUAUCUAUUUGAUACAUGCAUAAUAUAUAAGUUGGAUUCAAUUUUAACAUUAAUUGGCAAGUAAACUCUCUACUUAAUCACAAAUAAUAAUUAAACCCUUCAACACAUUUUCACCGUAUCUCGUGUAUAUCCAGCGACCAACGCUAAAAUGGCACACAUCAAAAUUUGAAAGCAUUUAAUUAGAUAUCAUUUUGUAAAUUGGAGUAUUCAAAUAACACAAUAUACAAAGUUAAGGAGUUGUUUGACCAUCAGAAUUACACCAAAAAAUGAUCACUAAUCACAUGUAAAUAUUUUAAUUAUUUUUAGUAUCUUAUAUUUUGAUUUGGUCCUCAUUUUAUUUCUUAUUUGCACUAAAAAAAUCAUUUUAAAAACAUCGAAACCAAUCGAAUCGAAGUUGAAAAACCAAACCAAACCAAACUAUUUCGAUUCACACUUUCUCAAAAUCAAUUACGAAAUAAUCGAACCAAAAUUUAAUAAAAACCGAACAUCCAACCCUACUUAUAGUCAUUUAUCAAUUUGUUCAAAUACGUAAUCUACGUAAAUUUAUAAACAUUCAUAUUGCUAUACUUCUAUUUGCCCAUAGCAACUGGGGAUCAAAAAGCACCAAAUUUGAUGACUUAUUAAGAGAAAGAUGAAGUAAGAGCAUGCUAUUGGAGACGUUGCAACAUAUGUCGGGAAGGCCUCCGUUAAUUGUGUAGAAAAGAAUUUCAUUUUAUUUUCCCCGGAAUUUUGGAAAAAAGCCGCUUCGAUAUGUGGAUUUGAUUCACCCUUAGUAAUGAGAGGAUUGGUUUGGUCCUCUCAUACCAGUGAAUUGGGUCGCAUACAUUGGAGCCAGAUUCAAUCCCAAGGGUCAAUCAAGCCUUUGAAACUAGUGAAAAUAGUCAUCACAGUCUGAGUUCCUGCUUUCAACGAGACUUUCUUACCUUGUCAAACUUUCUCUCCUUCACCAGGAAAGUUAUUCGGUAAGCAAGAUCUUUGAUUGAUGUGCCAAAAUCUUUAUAGAUAGAGCCAAUCAUUAAUUCCCAACCGUGGGGUGAAUGGAAUCCGAUACAUAAAUCAGUUAACAAAAGAAUAGAAAAAGCUUUGACUAAAGAAGGCCGAUUCCCCUAAGCAAUUAAAGGGCUACGGCUUUCGGACCAAAAACUUAAAAUGAGUUUACCCGACUUAAGUGCACACCGAAAACAACUCAUUUGGGCCAUUUCAAUUUAACAAGUCCUUACCAAAACCCAAAACCCAAAAUCUAUGGCUAUGGCGCAGGUGCUGAGCCUACAAGUUUCAACCCCAGCACCACCGCACCACCACCGCGCCACCUCAUCUUUGACCCGGCCGGCGCUGCUAACUGCUCCUUCCCCCACCGCUGAAAAGAGUUUCCGUUCCUUACAACACAAGCUCCAGUGCAACGGCAGAUUUUUUUGCCUCUUCUCUGAUAAUCGCAAACAGGUAGUACAAAGUUUUAAGCUUUUGAAAAUUCCCAAUUUGAUGGCUUUUCGAUUUCCCUUAGAGAGAAAUGAAGUGGGUGUGUUUUGGAUUAUCACGAAAAUGUCUGUAGUAAAAAAGUGUACUAAAUUAGUGAAGGGGUUUAUGUUUUGCAUUUGUUAUCAUUCCUGCUGGUUAAUCAGAGUGUUUGUACUUGUGGGUUGUGUAUAAGAUGUGAUAAAGUUAUCAACUUGGGUUUUUUUUUUUUUGCUAACUCCAAUAAAGGAAUAAGGAAGAAAAUGUUUGUACUUGUGUGAGUGAACAAAUUGUUUUCAGUAGUUCUUGGUGUGAGCUUGGGCUAGAAAGAGAGUUGUAUGGGUGUGUAAACAAUUUCAUGAUGUUUUCCUAGCGGAAAUGAAAAAUCACUAGGUGAUUUUUGUCCUAGCCUUGGAGGUUAGAGUUACUUGGUACUUGUUGCUGGUGGGAGGUGACAUGUAUCCCGUGGAAUUAGUUGAGUUGCACGAAAACUGGAACGGACACCACAGUUAUCAAAAGAAAGAAAAAAUCAUGAUGUUCUACUUGAGUGUUAGUUCAUACCAUGGUGUCCUAGAGUCUGUAGGUAGAAGUUCUAGCACGUUUCAGUGGUCCUAUCUAGCAAGUCUCUAUCCUAUUGCAUACUAAUCCGAAACUCCUAAACGAUUUGAUUGACCCAAAAGAGUAUACCACAAGUUAAAUGUAUAUGAAGUUUUAAAUUUGGGGAACAAGGUUCCCCACUUGAUUUCGUGCCUUAUAUAUUGAUGGACGGCAAAUGUCUGCUUUCUCUGUCUUUGUUUCUCUCAGCCCGAGCACACUUCCUGUCAAGAAUAAAGAAAAAGAAAACUAAAUGCUUAUGGUCAUUCCUGAGCCUGUUCUCGGUCAUUUUAGCCUGGCUUCUGCUAUUGCCAUCAUCCUCAAAGAAGAGUUACCGCCACUUUCUAUGGUUGCUCUAUAAUAUUGAUUCCAUUGUUUCUUUUUAGUAUGUUUGGUUUUUUUUACUGGCCAAAAUAGGUUUCCCAUUCCUUCUCUAUUUCCUGCCUCUUGGGACUGGAGUAGCACUGUAAGAAGGCACUCAAAAAGCAAAAUGGCAAAGCUGUUGAAUUGUGGUAGUUUAGCUAUUAGAUGUAGUAGUCAUGUAGCAAAUGGAAAACCAGAAUAUGACAUUCUGAAAGAUCAUCGAUUUCAGAUGCUUCUUAUAUCCUGACCUGAAGUUCUUUGCAUCCGACAUUUUGUUUGUGCCUUAGAUUCUUGGCUUUAUUUGGAGGUGAGGUUAUUGGAAGAGUAAAUUGGGACAUUAUCUCUGAAUCUCCUUUGUAUGUUGUAUUCUUAUUAGUCCGAUUAAUAAAGAGGAGUUUAGAACACUCUCCCUGCUGUCACAAAAGUGUAUUUUCUUAGAAAUAAAAAGAAGAAGAGGAGUUUAGAACAUUUCAUAAUCUUUUUCUUCCGUGUGUUAAUAGUUCAGGAAACAUGGAUUUAUUAAAUAAAAUUUGAAAUAAAAGAUUGAGCUUUUAGAACAAACAAUUGUGUGGAAGUAGUGAGGGGCUGAGGGCAGACAUUGUGGCUUGAUACAUAUCCAGCUAUUUGCUCUGUGGCUAUUCAUACGUUUUCUUCCAUUCCGCGCUGGUGGGUUUGGUGUAGGAUAAGGGUGAGAAUUUCUAAGCUACAAUUGCCAGAGGAAGUUUCAAAGUUCUUGCUGAUCAUUAGCACACAUAUAGGCUGUGAAUCGGUUCAGAAAGGUAUACAUUUGUGGUUGUUGGAUGGGUAGUUGUCUGAUGGGAGAAAGAUAGAAGACAGUUAUUCUCAAUAUUCUCAGUUCUUCGCCUAGUUCACUAAAACCAGAAAAUGUAGUUGUUCUUUAGCUUGAUUUAGGGCUUCCAAGAGAAAUAAAAAAAAGUUAGAAAUGCCACUAAGAAUUCAUUUUCACUAAUUUUUUCUGAUAAUGGUGCCAUAAUGGGAAGAGCAGAUUGUUUGAUUGAUAUGAUUUAGCUUUUAUGAAGAUUGCUCCACAUUAGCACUUUUUUUUUUUUUUUUUUUUGAUAACCGAGAAAUCCAUCUGUGACCCGCCCUUUGGACCAAUCACAGCCUUCUAAACUCGGUGGAUAAUGGGCACGCCCCUCUACCCUUCUCCACUUAAAUACCGGGCUUCACUUUGCAUGGUGUGGGGCUUGAACCUGCGACCUAAGCAACAAAUCCUCCACAUUAGCACUUUUUUUUUUUUUUUAUAAACCGGAAAACCCUCUGUGACCCCCCCUUUUGACCAAUCACAGCCUUCUAAACUCGGUGGAUAAUGGGCACGCCCCUCUACCCUUCUCCACUUAAAUACCGGGCUUCACUUUGCAUGGUGUGGGGCUUGAACCUGCGACCUAAGCAACAAAUCCUCCACAUUAGCACUUUUUUUUUUUUUUUUUAUAAACCGGAAAACCCUCUGUGACCCCCCCUUUUGACCAAUCACAGCCUUCUAAACUCGGUGGAUAAUGGGCACGCCCCUCUACCCUUCUCCACUUAAAUACCGGGCUUCACUUUGCAUGGUGUGGGGCUUGAACCUGCGACCUAAGCCACAAAUCCUCCACAUUAGCACUUUUAUGUACUUAAGUUUCAUUCCAGAGGUUCCACUUGAAAUGAACCAGACACUGGGUUUGUGAAUUCCCUCAGAAAAGGAGUGUACAACUUUGAUUGUGUGCUUUGCCAUAGGAUUAUAUUUACAAGGUUUCUUCAGCCAUGCUUAACCUUGUAGACUCAGAAGUACCUAUCUCCAUUUCUAGGUUUCAUGCGCCUUCAGACUCGGGCAUUAUCUCAUUUGGAUUAUGUACCUUGGUAAUAACUUUUUGACUUAACAAACAGAAAAUAAUGAGCUUAGUAAUUCCAAUUUGCAACAUCUUGUUGUAGACACGAGAUACACAGAAGUUUUCUUCUAAUUGUGUCUCUAGCAAUCAGAGGAAAUAGAAUUCUAGUUUAGCAUAUUUGGGAACAAGGCAAGGCUUCUAGAUUUAGCAGUAAUUUCGCAUGCUUGCAAAAUUCAAUCAAGGUGACUUUACACGAAACGUAUGAAGUGGAAGUUUGCUUUUCUAUUUUAUGCGUCAUCUAAUUCUGGCAGGUCUAUUUACCUAUCUGUGUUGUGCCGUUUCAUAUAAACAGGACGAAGCUAGAAAAGCUCUAGAAAGUGCUUUGGGAGGAAAGAAAACUGAGUUUGAGAAAUGGGAUAAAGAAAUUAAACGAAGGGAGGAAGCAGGUGGAGGAGACAAUUCAGGCGGAGGUGGUUGGUUUAAUUGGCGUAGAUGGUUUGGUGGUUCGGAAGAUGGCCAUUUUUGGCAGGAAGCCCAACAAGCAACCCUUGCUAUCUUGGGUAUUAUUGUCAUGGUGAGCAAUUAUAUAAGAUUCUUUGUACUCCCUCUAGGGUAUUUUACGUAACACUCUUUCCUUCUUAGUCUCUUCCUAACAAAAUGAUACGUUUCAAUUAUAUCCUAUAUGGCAUGAUUUUAUAACCACAUAAACAUCGCGGCAUGUUUGAGACCACAAACUUCAAAUGUUUUUCUUUCUUACUGAGACUCUGUGCUCAGCCAAAUACAUUCAUAAAUGAAACAGAAGGAUAUGAGUAUCUUUGGUACUUUUAAGAUUUCAAUUAAUAAUAUUAUUCCGCACUUCUACUUGUCUCUUAUUCAUCAGUACAUCGUGUUUGAAUUUGCAGUACUUGAUAGUUACAAAAGGAGAUGUUAUGCUUGCUGUGAUAUUCAACCCUCUGCUGUUCACUCUACGCGGAGCAAGGAACGGGUUUACCUUUGUAACAUCACAGAUUAUGAGAAAAGUAUAUCCUGCUAGCCAAGACAGCUUUGGCACCAUGUCUCCGGAAGAAGUUCCUUCUCGUGUUUCUGCCAAAGAGACCGUAGCAAGAAAAUGGGGAAGCGAUUAAUCACUCGUACGUUCACUAGCAAGUACUUGUCUUCUCCUUGUAUUCUGAUAUUGUUAGUGCUUUUGGUUAGCUUGCUUUUUCAUUCAGUGUGGGGAGGAAAAAACGCCACCCAAUGGUGCUUCUACGAAAGUAUGGUCACCGGUGGCUAAUACCUUCUCGAGACUAUCGAACCUGAAAUCCACUUUCCAUCGCUCCUUUUUAGGUUGGCGUAAUAUAGAAAAUUGUUUCAUCAGCUUCAUGUUGAUUUCAUCUUUAACAUUUGAAUUGGGAAUAUACAAAAUUUUGUAAUAUAUUGAGUUUCUAGUAGUUGUGGCAUAAUGUCAUAUAUAUUUUUUUCCAAUUCAUGUUAUUAAAAGUCAUCACUUUAAGAGAUCCUGCUACGAUGGCUUUAGAUGAAUGUAUGCUUCAAAUAAUGACGCGAAAAUGAACGUAAAACUUGUUUGGAAUCGAGACAUAAUCAUCGUUAUUUAUAUUUGCGAUAUGAUAAUUUGAAUUGGUUCAUGGUAAUAAUGAUUGUCCCCAUUAAUGACAACAUUAUAAUUUUAAACUUGUCAUGUCUAGUAAGUACUUCUUUGACCACCAACAAAAUAAUUCAUCAUCAUUGGCCAUAAUGAAAAGCAAAAUAAAGUCUUUAGACUUUUACUAUCGAGAAUUAUAGUGAGAUGAAUAAAAAAAAUCAUAGUUUAUCAGAUUCUCAUAAUUAUAAUCAAAAUAGAAUUUUGCAACUCUUUAAUUAGCAGUGUCGGGUUUGAGGUCCUUGGUAUAAAAACACGACCUAGUAAUGAAUGUUCUCCUCUUAAAUGGGUCUUACGAGGUAUAAUUCAGAUUCAUCGUAGUUUCAAUAUAGAUAUCAAACAACAACAUAAUCAAUAUAAUCAUCGCACAAAUGGAGUUUGAAGAGAUAAAGUGUAUAAAGAUUUUACCCCUAUUUUGUGUGAGGUGUAAAAGCUAUUUUCUAUAGACUCUCGAGUCUCCACUCUUCUAAUUGAGGAAAUAGAAAAGUAAAGAAGAAAACAGAAAAGGUUUCCACAAUAUUCCUUAAUUAUGUUGGCGUGAAUUAUGAAUCAUAAUUAAUAUUCCUCUAGGACUUCAACUAAUCAUGCUAAUUAUCAUAAUUAUAAAUAAAUCGAUGGGAAUAUACCAGAAAAUCAUGAUAACACGUAUAGAAAUAAUAAUUCUAAAGCCCCAUUAAUUUAUUCAAUCACGUAACAUAAUUACUCAUCCUUAUCUUCUUAUUCUUAAGAUUAUUAUUAUUGAUGUAACUUACAAAAAUCAUUAUCUACCCUACUAAUUAUUUCAUCAUACUUUUCUCCAACAUUUAUUUAGUACCAAGCUCAAAAUUAUAUAUUUUUUUGGGCAACAACAAUAUAGUUAAAGAAAUUGUUCAAUAAAUUAUUUCACUUGAAUUAUCCAUUAAAGUAUAUGAGCUGAUAUUGUCAAAUAUUAAAAGUGUCGAUAGUCUCUUAAAUUUGUUAGUAAAUUUCAUUUUAGAUACUCAAAUUACGUCCUAUUUUAAUUGAGCAUCUGAACGGCUGAACCAUAUUCCUAUUUGAACUUUCGGCUUGAAUAUUAAAAAGGUUUUUAUGCAUAUUUUCAAUUGCUCAUUACUUAAAAUAUGGUUUAACGCCGAUAAAUAAUAAAACCUCAUACAUGUUCUAAUUGAGCUAAUGUGUUCAUAUCAAGCAAUGAAAUGAGAAAAAAAACGUAUAUGCAAUUAUCAUUCAACAACAACAACAACAAAAAUAGUAGCAAUAACAACAAUAAUUAAGAGUAAUGAAUAAGUGUUGGUUUAGAUAAAAUCCCUUUAUGAAUAUGUCAGUGUCAAUACUAAAUUCUCUGAAGCUAUUUAUGUUGAGUCACGUGAAAAUAUAUAAAUGACCAUAGUCAUAAACUUUAAAAAUGUACAAUCUUUUGACAAUAACAUUUACUGUUACUGCAUCCAAUUCACUUAAGACAAAUAUAUAAUAUAGUUACGUUAAAAGUUACUAAAUUCGAUCAAAUCAUUAACAUACAUACUAGUUGUGCCAUCAAAUAAGUUUCAUGUCAUACAAAUUUAAAUUAAUCAAGAUUGAAAUAUCGAUACGAGUGAAAGACAUUAUGCAAUAGAAGAGAUGCACGUAGUCCUCAAGUAAGGAAUAAUUGUCUAAUGAGAGAAGAGGUCCAAAAAUUAGUUAAAAUUCCUCUCUUACACCCAAUCUUAAGCUGUCUCCCAAGUGACCUUCACGAUCUCUCCACCAUUAUUAUUAUUAUAUCUUAUAUUAUACUAAAAUACUAUAAUUAUUACUCUUCUCUUAGUUUAUUUUAAAAAAAUAUCUCUUUUCUUUUUCGACAACUUGUUAAGGGUCUGAGGAGGAUAAAUGUAAACAAAUCCUAUCAUUAUCUUGAGUAGAUAGAGAGACUAUUUACAAAAGACAUUCAAUUCGAGUAACGAAUAUUAAAUCAACUAGCAUGAUAAUACAAAAGUAAAGAAGACAUAUAAAAUAAUAAGAAAAACGUAACAUAAAUAUCAAAGCGAGUCUCAUGUGACAUGUUUAAGAUUAGAAUAUAAAAAAUAUUUUUUACUUUUUAAAAUUUCAUGUCAAGUCAAAACCAGACAAAUAAAUUGAAACGAGACUAUAUUAUUACUCAUAUUUUUCAGCUUUUAAUUCUCACAAUAUUUGGAUCACCACAAGACCAUUUCCAUUUUGUACCUUAAAAAAACCAGACCCCUCCUUAUUUUUCUCACUUUUUUUCUUGGUAUCUUUUUCUUCUUACCAUUGUAGUAAACAAUACCGUUGACCAUUUUCUCACAACCCAAGCAUAUUUUUUUUAAAAAAAUCAUUUUUUUUUCAACGAUGAUCCAAAUAAAUUCUUGUUUUUUUAUAAAGGGGAAUUCUUUUUAGCCUUUCUUCAAUGUUGUUGUUUUUCCUUUUUGGGUUUUUCUAGUUCUGUUCUUUUCUUGUCAUAAGUUAGAACAAAACUAGUAAAAAGCCCUUUUCGUUAAUCCAUUUUUGUGUGUGUUUGUUUGGCCAAGAAUACUUGUUUUUUUGUUAAUGUCCUUGGCUGUUAGAUUUGCUGAAAACAGCAAGAACAUGGGUUUUGAUGAUAAUAAGGUAGAAGGUAAAGAAGGGUCAGCAACAAUUUCUGAGGGUAAUAAGGGAAUUGUGGCUGAUUUUGACCCUGAGAUUGAGAAUGAUGGUGGUCCUGUUGAGGGUAAUAGGGUUAAUAGGCAAAUGAGUGAAAGUUCUAUUUAUACUACUGAUCAUGAAGAGGAUGAUGAUGAAGCUAAUAACAAGAUUGAGUUAGGUCCUCAAUGUACACUCAAAGAAACAUUUGAAAAGGAUAAGGUGUGUUGAGUUCUUUUGUUUUUAACAUUUCUUGAGUUUUGAGCCAUGCUGGUCAUAGAGUCAUCUUAAUUAGGAAGCGUUUUGAGGUGUGAAUUUGGAUCAGGGCACAAUGUGGAUAUCGGAUAUAGGAUGAGAAAGAUUCCCUUUUUUGUUUUCUUGAAAGAUAAAAAAGAUUGCAUCUUUAAAGUCGUUUUAGUUAGGGAGCGCUUUGGCCCUCAUCGGACUUUUAUCCUGUGGAUACUAGACAUCUUCCCCCUUUUAGUUAUCUUGAAAGAUAAAAAAGAUUGCAUCUUUGUUCCUUCUUAAAUGGUUCUUUGAACAUUCUGUUUGUUUUUAUUCUUCCCUUUUAAUUUUCUUGAAAUAAAAACAAAAAUGUUGUCUUUAUUCCUUUUUAAGUUUAUUUUGUGUUGUUUGUUUUGAUUUGAUUCAAUGUUUGAUUUUAGGAUGAUGAGAGUUUGAGAAGGUGGAAGGAGCAGCUCCUUGGAAGUGUGGAUAUCAAUGCUGUUGGAGGUAAAUAUUGUGUUUGAUUUAAGAUUUGCUCCUUCAACUUUCUUGAAUUUCUGAUUUUUGAGGAAAGAGUAAAAAGGGGCAGCCCGUAGAGGGAGGACCGGGGCCCAAGGGGUGUGAUGUAAGUAGCCUAUGGCUGAUUUCACAGUUCGAAUCCGUUAGCGAUAGGUCACACGGAGACAACUUUAUGCUCCAUUGUUUCCCCUUUUUUUUGAGAAAAGAGUAAUAUGCAUAUACUCCCUCCCUACUAAGAUACUUAUCGCUUCUCAAAAUCAAAUUAUAUGAACUUUGACCAACAUUUCGAGAGGUAUUUUUUGAUAUGAGAAGAAUUGCAACUUACAAUACUUUUCGUAUAAUUUUUGAAUAUCUAAAUUUUUGGUUUAAAAUAUUAAAUUAAUUCAAUUCAGUUUAGCUAUGAAGAUUAGUCAAACUGACUCGUGAGAAGGCAAAACUUGACAAUUAUUUUUGGGAUGGAAGGAGUACAAUGUCCUCUUUACUUAUAUAUUUUCUUUUCAUAUUGAUUUCGUGUUCAUUACUUGAGUGGAAGGCCUUUCGGAAAUAACCUCUCUACCUCCACGAGGUAGGGGUAAGGUCAGUGUUGUUGUUGUUGGUGGUGAGUGAACAGCUCCUUCCAUGUUACUUUCAUUUUCAAGAUAUGGUAUGGUGAGGAACUCCAAAAAUUUCUUUACUCGAUUUUCCUCUAUUCGUGUAGUCUAUUCUGUUUACUUUGACAGUAUGAAACUUAUCAGUAGGACUUUAUGGUUGAUAUAAUCUUAAUGAGCUUUAAGACACAUACUAGAAGCAUUUCUGUUUCUGCGGACUGUGCUGGUAUAAAUCUUGACACUUCCCGUGACUGCUGAAUAAUGUAGAAUCCUUGGAUCCGGAAGUGAAGAUCUUGAGCCUUGCAAUUAAGUCGCCCGGUAGAUCUGAUAUUGUUCUCCCUAUCCCUGCGGACGGAAAUCCCAAGAGCCCAUGGUUUGUUCUGAAAGAAGGGAGCAAAUACAGCCUAAAAUUUACGUUCCAGAUCAACAAUAAUAUAGUAACAGGUCUUAAAUACAAGAAUGCAGUUUGGAAAACCGGUAUCAAAGGUACUAUGCCGUCCCUUCACAUUUCCACCUCUAUAUGAAUGUCAUUUUUAGGCCUAUGUAGUUCAUUCUUGAUGCUUUUAGGUAACGUUUUCCCUUUUCACGAAUGUUGUUUCAGUUGACAGCACAAAACAGAUGAUUGGGGCGUUUAGUCCUCAACUGGAGCCUUAUACACACGAAAUGCCAGAAGAAACCACCCCUUCUGGCAUUUUCGCAAGAGGAUCUUACUCGGCAAGGACAAAGGUAAUAUUUCUUUCUCGUUAAUGCUCUUAACAUAUUCCAUAUCUACCAUUCAAUCUAGUCUUGUACAUGGCUUAGUUACGAGAGAAUCUUCAAGCUUAUCUAAUGCAUUUAAUUUGGUGGACACUAUUGUCUUCAAUCUGGUAGACUGAUAUUGAGGUUGCAGUUCUUUGCAUAUGGUCCCUUUAUCUUUUACAUGGGACCUCUUUUUGUUUCGACUAGUUUUAAGUCUUGUAUUAAAGGACCACCUAAAAUACUAUCGGGUUUGUGAGUGGAAUCAGCCAAUGAUGUUUGUAUCAUGAUAGGCUGCCUACUUUAAUACCUCUGUGGGGUGCGACCCUUCCCUGGACCCUGAGUGAAUGCUGGAUCCUUCGUACACCAGACAACUUUUUUUUUUUGGGACCUAGUAGGUAAGACACAACUAAAGCAUGCGUCUAAGCAUACCAUAUUAAGUCAUUUUUCUUGUUGUUUGCUUCCGCUGCAGUUCCUUGAUGACGAUAACAAGUGCUAUUUGGAGAUCAACUAUACAUUCGAAAUCAAGAGAGAGUGGCAGGAAAAAUGAACAACAACAGCAUGACAUGAAUCGGAGCCCCCAUGCUAUACUUGUUUUUGUUCUUCGUAAUUAUCUCAACUUAUUUUUUCCUGCUAGUUUUUCAGAAGAGAUAAAAGAGGGUGCAAUAGAGAGAAAACAACCCGCUACAAUUGAUUAUAUGAUCAAAAGCUCUCUUUUUUUGCCUUUCUCUCUAUCAAGUUUCAUGUGCAUAAGUGUGCUUUUUGAAUGUUGUAAAACUGUGAAGAAAUCUUUUCAAGAAUCUAGAUAUUUUGUUCAUCAAAUUCUUAAUUUUUUUUUCCAUUUCUUUUGAGAAAGAUAAUGUGCAUUCCUCAUUGAUGCCGGUGUUGCAUGAGCUCGGCUAGACUAAAAGGGCACGGUCAGGUCCAAGACGAGCAGGACCGUCAUAAUAUUUUUUUCUUUCCAUUUGCUCAUUAUGAUAUUGCAUUCUUUUACUUACCUUACAACUAAAGUUUGCCAAAGUUAUGUUCUUUAGCUACUUUUCUCCUUUGACUGUAGUUACUUUGUUAUUUUCUUUUGGCUUUCUCAACCACUUCUUCCACCUUCAUUUUCCCACAUAAUUGAACUUGACAUUCAUGCAUUGUCAUGAUUGUUCAUGAUUUUGCUUGGUAAGAAGAACCUAUAAAAGAUUGAAACUUUUAUGGUUAGCUCUUUUGGUUCUUAUAUUUUACUUUUGUUGAGAUUAUGCCUCAUGUAAAUGUAUGGCAUACCUAAAAAUACACGUCAUGUGGUUGUUUGGUACGCAGGAUAGUAAUCCCAUUGUUUACAAAUAUCGGGAUAAAACCAUCCCAGAAUUAGCUAAUAUCUUGAAUCAAAUAUGGGAUAAAGCAAAUUUAUCCCGGGAUGCCUUAUCCCACGUACCAAACGACCCUUAAGAGUUUCACAUCGUCAUUCGGGGCUUUGCUUUAGUGAUAAGAGCACAACACAUAAUGUUUCGGAAAUUGGGCACGUCAUGGAUUCAAACCUUAUUGUAAAUAAAAACGUAUGGUAUUUAAGCGGAAAAGAGUAGACAGAUGGAUCCAUUAUCCUCCGAGGAUUGCACUCUGUUUUGGCACAACACUUUUGGGGAAACCAAAUGAAAACAAAAGGCCUUGUAUAGUGGAGAAGGGUAGAAGAGCCCAACACGUGAUGUAUGAGUUAGGUGUACGUCAUAGACUCGAACACUAAUUAGGAUAAAAUCCUAAUUCUUAAUAAAGUGGAAAAAAGUAGACGGAUGGACCACUAUCCACCAAAUUUCUAAUUGUACUCCAAUUAACCUUCAAAAAUUUCUCCAUUAUAAAAGAUAAAUUUUAAAUGUUAAAAAUUUAAAACACUUGUUUGUGACAAAAUACUUUAGAGGAGACCAAAAAGUAGAGUUGACAGAAAAAAAUGGUCCAAAAGAAAAGAUUGAAGUUGAUAGUUCACCACCAACUAAAGUAGAGGAUUAAGAGGAAAUAACUUAAAUAGUCGUCUAUUCAGUCGUUUAAAUUAAAAAUAAUCAGCAAAAAUUAUGCAUUAGCAGCGACAUUUGUUGCCACUAAAACCUAUAUUAAUCACUGCUAAAAGUUUGCAUUAACUUCAACUUUAGUCCCUAUGAAUGCCACAAUUAGUCACUACGUAGAGCAUGUAUUAGCAGCAACUUUAGUCAUCGUUGCCCCUAAAAGUAAGUAUUAGCAGCAAAUUAAACACCACGAAUGCAUCUAAUAGUCGCCAUAAGAGAUAGUAUUAGUAGCAACUAAAGACGCCGUAGAUACAAAUACUAAUCGACAAUAAAAAAUAGUAUUAGUGGCAACUAUAAUCUCCUUUACAUAUAUAUAAUACGUUGCUAAAAGGUAGUAUCCGUGGGUGGCAACUAAACAGGCGCAAAAACACAUAUAAGAGUUGAUGCUCCCACCAAAUAAAAAAAAAGGACGCUGCUAAAAGCUAAUAUUAGUGGCAACUAAAACCGCCACUAAUUAACAUAAAAGUUGCCGCUAAACGUUAGUAUUAUUGGCAACAAAAACCGCCACUACAUCAUAGAAUAGAUGUCGCUAAACGAUAGUGUUGGUGGAAACUAAAACCUACACUAAUUGAUAUAAGAAUUGCCGCAAAACGCAACUAAAAUAACCACGGAUUAAUAUAAGAGACGCCCCUAAAACUAAGUAUUAGUGGCAAAAGAAAACCGCCACUAAAACAAAUAAAAGUCGCUGCUAAAAGUAAGUAUUAGUGGCAACUUAGUCGCCACAAAACAUAUAAAACUCGCCGCUAUAAGUAAGUAUUAGUGGCAACUAUAGUCGCCACUAAAACAAAUAAAAAUCGCCGAUAAAAGUAAGUAUUAGUGGCAACUAUAGUUGCCACUAAAACAAAUAACAGUCGUCGCUAAAAGUAUGUAUUUGUGGCAACAAAAGUCGCCACUAAAAAAAAUAAAAGUCGCUGCGAAUAGUAAGAAUUAGUGGCAAAAUAAAAAUCGCCGCUAAAAGUAAGUAUUAGUGGCAACAAAAGUCGCCACUAAAACAAAUAAAAGUCGCUGCGAAAAGUAAGAAUUAGUGGCAACUACAGUCGCCACUAAAACAAUAAAAAGUCGCUGCUAAAAAGUAGGUAUUAGUGGCAACUGUAAUCGCCACUAAAAUUAAAAAAAGUCGCCGCUAAAGAUUAGUAUUGGUGGCAACUGUAGUCGCCACUAAAACCCAAAAGAAUCGCUGCUAAUGGUUAGUAUUAGUGGCAACUAUAAUCGCCACUAAAACAAAUAAAAGUCGCCGCUAAAAGCAAGUAUUAGUGUCAACUAUAACCGCCACUAAAACAAAUAAAAGUCGCCGCUAAAAGAAUGUAUUAGUGUCAACUAAAACCGCCACUAAAUUCUACAAAAGUCACCGCAAAAAGAAAGUAUUAGUAGCAACUAAAAUCGUCACCAAAACAAAUAAAAGUUGUCGCUACAAGUAAGUUUUAGUGGCAACUAAAACCGGCACUACAACAAAUAAAAGUCGCCGCUAAAAGUAAGUAUUAGUUGCAACCAUAAACGCUACUAAAACAAAUAAAAGUCGCCACAAAACGAUUGUAUUAGUGGCAACUAAAACCGUCAAUAAUUCCUAUAAAAGUCACCGCUAAAAGUAAGUAAUAGUGGCAACAUAAAUCGCCACUAAUUCCUUUAAAACUCGCAGUUAAAAGUAAGUAUUAGUGGCAACUCAAACCGCCGCUAAUUACUAUAGAAGUCGCCGCAAAAAGAAUGUAUUAGUGGCAACUGAAACCGCCAUUAAUUGAUAUAAGAACCGCCGCUAAAAGUAAGUAUUGGUGGCAACUAAGACCGCCACUACUUCAUAUAAAAGUCGCAGCAAAAAGUAUGUUUUAGCGGUAACAAAAAUUGCCACUUAAUCAAGUAAAAGUCGCUACUAAAGGUAUGUUUUAGUGGCAACUAAAACUGCCGCUAAACAAAUAAAAGUAUUAGUGGCAACUCAAACCGCCACUAAAUCAAAUAAAAGUCAUCGCUAAAAGUAUGUUUUAGUGGCAACUAAGAUUGCCACUAAUUCCUAUAAAAGGCAUCGCAAAUGGUUUGUUUUAGCGGCAACAAAAACUGCCACUAGUAAAGACUGAUAGUGAGGUUACAGUUAUUUGCAUAUGGUCCAUUUAUCUUUUACAUGGGAUCUCUUUUUGUUUUCGACUAGUUUUAUGUCUUGUAUUAAAGUACCACCUAAAUACUAUCGAGUUUGUGAGGUGGAAUCAACCAAUGAUGCUUGUGUCAUGAUAGGCUGCCUACUCUAGUACCUCUUUAGGGUGCGGCCUUUCCCCAAACCCUGAGUAAAUGUUGGAUCAUCCGUACACCAGACAACUUUUUUUUUGGACCAAGUAGGUAAGACAUAACAUUGGGUUAGUCCUUUGAAUUUGAUGGGUAUACCUGAGUAAAUGUUGGAUCCUUAGUAAUAAAGUGCGUAUAAAAUUGGGUUAGUCCUUUGAGGUGUCAUGUCGAUGAAAAGGUCGACUUCAUAGUAAUAGUCAGAGCUAACUGGGCAUUAUGGUAAUAAGAGUUCGUGGUUGAUUGUGACGGGCUGCAACUAUAUAAUAAGAUAACGGUUAAGCGAAUUCUCUAUAGUAAUUACGACUUGCGAGUAUCUAAGUUGUGAUUUUCUAAUAUUUGGUGAGUAACGUGGAUGUAUGGAAAGUUUUAAGAGAUGGUGGGACACCACUCGAAUAGAAUUUUAAAGAACUAGAGUCAUAAUGAAAGAAAAAAUAGAGUGGAAUGUAGUACAACCUCUAGAGAGAGGCGAGAACACGAAUAUUUUAUUUGAUUUCAAAGGCUAAAGAGAUAUAUUUCGAGGGGUAGAUAAUUAGGUUCAGAGAUGCAUGUUUUCAUUCAUUUUGUUGUGGCUAUGGUAAUAGUGUCACAAGUCCGUCAGAUUGGUUAAAAACUAUUGGAAAAUACUUGAGAAAUGAGUGUAUAAACAUUAGCUUGAGUGUGAUGACAAGUGCUUUGUUUUUGUUUUGAGUUUAGUAAUGAGUACGAUUGAAUUUUUAGCGAAAGAUAUUGUAAGAUCGAUGGAGAUGCGAUCAAUGAUAAACGAAGAUCCAUUAUUUCAUAAAAAUCUUCAAGUUACAAGCUAAUGUUGAUAGAUAAAUGGAUUGUGUUAUACAAUUGAAUUUUACAAUUCAAAUUUUUCAUUGUAAGUCUACAUUUGUGGUGAUAUAUUUUAUCAAUGCAUGAAUUUGCAAGGUGAGAAUGAUCAAUUGUAUCAGGUAUUGAGCCUUUGAAAGGACUUACACCUGGGUUGAGUCGUAAAUGUUAUUAUUGUUGAUUGUUAAGUACCUAAGAAAGGUUUUUAUUUAAAAGUGUUGGUUUAGAGUAAGGUAAAUGGUCGGAGUAUUCGUGAUGAUUGUUAGUAUUGAGAGUGUGAACCUCAGUGGAAUGACGCGAAGAGUAUGUGGAGUCAACUGAAUGGAAAUGAUUGGUAUCAACUCUUCAGAAGAAAACCUUUAGUGUUAUUCAAUAUUUACUCCAUAAAAUUGUUAUGUGACCAUUUAUUUUAUUUUGUACAUGGUUAGGAGUACGAUUUACUAGCUAAGCUCUCGUGUGUUUUCACUUUUGUUGGUGGAUCCCAAGUGGUGGAUCAGGUGUACCGAUCCUGCGAUGUUCUCUUGAUUGAGUGAGAUGAUUUGGGAAGACGUGAUUAUUUCAGAUGACUUAUGUGGUGUUGUCUUGGAGUUGUUAAGGUAAUUCAGUAGUUUUACAUGUAUCACCUUGCUUAUGAGAGAUUAUGUAAGGUUGAAUGUGGGAUCAUUGUGUCCAAUUCUAUUGUUCUUAAAAGGUAAUCUACAAUUACUAAAUCUAGUAUUUUGAUAGUGUUGUUAUAUGGCUUAUAUGCUUGGACAUAUCAUCAAUGAGUAUCUGAUGUCUAAAGAUCAAAUUUUUAUAACUUAAGCUCAUGAGAAUUUAAGUUGUGAGAUAGAGAUUAGGAGUGUGUGUUGGUUGGUUCAGUUCACUUUUAAUUGUAGCGGGUAUUAAUUUAAAAUUUUAUCAUGAUUAUGUGAAAAAGGAUUCUUCAUGAUGAUUGUGUCAAGGUGAUUAUUGGGAAUUGCUUUGGUUGUUAUUGGGAAUCGCUUGGUUGUUAUUGGGGAUUACUUGGUUGUUAUUUGUAAUCGCUUGGGUUAUUAGUUAAGUUUACAUACUACAAUAUCACUCGAGUAUUGAGAUGACUUCAUUGAGGCAAUGUAUGAGAGGAUGUGUAGGUAUUCAAUUGAUUGGUCUGAGGACCAAUGAGAUAAAGUCUGUGAAAGUUCAAUGAAAGCCUCGUCCGAUUGAGGAAGCUACUUGGGAAACUGAGAAGGACAUGCGAGGCAAGUAUCCCCAUUUAUUAUACGAUUCAGAUACUACUCUACUCUUUCCUUAGCCAAGUUUUUCCUAAUUUAUUCACUCGAGGACAAGUGAUGGCUAAAUUGGUAUCUAUUGUAAUGACUUGUUUCCAUCGUUAUGGAAAAGUCAAUGGGAAAAGAAUUUGGACCAGAAAACUUUUGAGUAGUGAUUUGAAAAAUUGUAGCAUAGUCUAGAUUUAGAUGAAAUCUGAAUCAGUCUAGGUCUAGUGAAAUAUGGUAAUGAAUGGGGGAUUUAAUAAUGAAUUUGAUCACAUUAGUAGAUAGCUAAAACGUUAAUCAACCCGUACGACUUUACGGAAUCGAAUUUGGGCGAGUAGAACUCUCAAAACUGAUUUUAGCGUGAACGAGUAUUUUCUGAGUGUCGUGGGUUGAAGGUGUGUUGUGAAAUGAGGGGUUUGAAGCUCCAAAUUUAACUCUUUGUCUCUGUGCAAGCCGCCAGUGCAAGAUUAUUCCAGCCAGGGCGGGGCCGCUAUAGCGGGAUGAGGUCCUCCACAUCGGGACAUAAGCGACUUAAGUUAGAAAUAAACUCCAAAAACGUUAUUAUUCUGCAAGUUUUGUUCUUGGGAGCUAAGGGAGGACCCAUGGCAAGUUCUUGACAAUUUUUCACCUCUUCUAGCACUAAAGGUAAGGUUUUUACUCCCCGAAUCCAUGUUUCGAUCAGUAGAACUUAGUUUCUUGGGUAAUUAUCAAUGAGGGAGGGUUUUGAUCUGGGAAUUAUGGUGGAAAAAGCCCUAACCUGGGUAUGGGGAUCAAGGGUUUGACCUAGGGUUGGUAUUAUUGAUUAUAAUCUGGGUAAUUAGGUCUUGUUUAUUGAUCCUCACAUUAUAUUGAUUGUUUGUAGACCAAGAACAAGGGGAAUGAAUCCGGAAAGGGAAGAAUCAAGUUUCUUAGGGGAUUCAAGCAUUGUUCGAGAUAGGUGAUGGUUGUGAUUUCAUGUUGGUGUGAUGUAUGUUAGUAAAUAAUUUGUUUUAAUGCAUAUAUGUAUGUGAAUGUUGCAUCAUUGAUCACGUUAAUCGUAAAUGAGUAUGAUUGAAUAAUUAUAUGCCAUGAAUCAACAAUUGAUUGUAUGAUUAUGAGAAUGUACAUUGUGAUUGUGAUUGUGGCUUGUUGAAUGGAUCGGGUGUUACGUUCCAACAAACUAACUUGAAUUGGGUGCCACGUUUCAGCGUACAUAUAGGAUCGGGUGUCACGUCCGGCACACUAAUUGGGAUCGGGUACCACGUUCAGUACACUAACAGUUUGAGUAUGGGUUCCAUGAGAGGACCAUUGAAUUGGGUUCCAUGAGAGGACCAUUGACUUGUCAUAUUAAUGUAUUUUGAGCAUGAGGAAUUGUUCGUUGAUCCUGAUAAUAUGACUGAUAUUGUAUAUGUUCGGUAUACACUUGUUUUAUUAUGUUGUGAUUAUUUACAUAAGUUUCACUUAUUGGGAUAGCCGCGUGAUCCUACCAGUACACUGUGGUUGUGUACUGAUACUGCACUUGCUUGUUCUUUGUUGCGUACAAGGUAUCUUCCGGCGGCUUAUUCAUAGACCUUAGCUAGGUGGCGAUUGAGCGUGACCGGAUUCAAGGGUGAGCAAGUUCUUUCUAGGCUGUCAUAGAUCUUUCUUGUUUAAGUUCACUCUUUUCGGACUCAGACUAUUUGUUAAGGUGUUUGUUUAGUUUCGGGUUGUACCCUUGUUCUUAUACUUGUUAAUAGUAGGGUUUUGGUACAAUGACUUUCAGGUUCUAGAGGUUGUUCUUCUGCAUUAGGUUGGCUAGUUUAUUUAAACCUUUGGAGUUUAUGGAAACUCUCUAUAAUUUAUGCAUUUAAACCUGCUUCUGUAUCUUUAAAUGUCUUAGUUUUGGUUGAGUUUGUUAGGUUGGGUUGUAGUAAUGGUUCUCCCACCAGAGGGUUAGUGUGGGUGUCAAUCACGACAGUCUGGGUCGUGACAACUUGCAACUUGCUUGAUGAUUUACAAAUGAGAGGCAAUCUAUUUAUACUACUCCCUAGGUGCCUAAGUGUAAAUAAUAAUUACUACUCAAGUCCCUACAUAUUUACAGUUUAGUCCUUAUUCUAGAAUUCUCUAAAAUAUUCCAAGGACGUUCCAUGUGAUUCUAUAACCUUCCCUAGGAAAUCUCCAUACUUCCCUAGAAUAUUCCACUAAAGACUAUUCUUCUUUCAAUGUAAUCCUUCCAAGGAAAUAUCUAGGGAGUUCUAGAGUCUUCCACAAACUUCUUUACAACUCUAGUUUCUUCCCCCCUUUAUAUUCAUGACUUAUUUUAAUGGCAAUGUGACGGGUCAUGACAAAAAGCUCUCUAUCAAGUUUCAUGUGCAUAAGUGUGUUUUUUGAAUGUUGUAAAACUGUGAAGAAAUCUUUUCAAGAAUCUAGAUAUUUUGUUCAUCAAAUUCUUAAUCUUUUUUUCCAUUUCUUUUGAGAAAGAUAAUGUGCAUUCCUCAUUGAUGCCGGUGUUGCAUGAGCUCGGCUAGCCUAAAAGAGCACGGUCAGGUCCAAGACGAGCAGGACAGUCAAAAUAUUUUUUUCUUUCCAUUUCCUCAUUAUGAUAUUGCAUUCUUUUACUUACCUUACAACUAAAGUUUGCCAAAGUUAUGUUCUUUAGCUACUUUUCUCCUUUGACUGUAGUUACUUUGUUAUUUUCUUUUGGCUUUCUCAACCACUUCUUCCACCUUCAUUUUCCCACAUAAUUGAACUUGACAUUCAUGUAUUGUCAUGAUUGUUCAUGAUUUUGCUUGGUAAGAAGAACCUAUAAAAGAUUGAAACUUGUAUGGUUAGCUCUUUUGGUUCUUAUAUUUUACUUUUGUUGAGAUUAUGCCUCAUGUAAAUGUAUGGCAUACCUAAAAAUACAUGUCAUGUGGUUGUUUGGUACGCAGGAUAGGAUAAACGAAAAUAUUCAUGGGAUAUCUUUAUCACGCCUUCUAUAUUGGAUAGUAAUCCCAUUGUUUACAAAUAUCGGGAUAAAACAAUCCCAGGAUUAGCUAAUAUCUUAAAUCAAAUAUGGGAUAAAGUUAAUUCCAAAUUUAUCCCUGGAUACCUUAUCCCACGUACCAAACGAUCCUUAAGAGUUUCACUUCGUCAUCCGAGGCUUUGCUUUAGUGAUAAGAGCGCAACACAUAAUGUGUUGGAAAUUGGGCACGUCAUGGAUUCAAACCUUAUUGUAAAUAAAAAUGUAUGGUAUUUAAGCGGAAAAGAGUAGACGGAUGGAUCCAUUAUCCUCCGAGGAUUGCACUCUGUUUUGGCACAACACUUUUGGGGAAACCAAAUGAAAACAAAAGCCUUGUAUAGUGGAGAAGGGUAGAAGAGCCCAACACGUGAUGUAUGAGUUAGGCGUACGUCAUAUAAUUAAUGUAUAACUGUAAAAAAAGAAGUAAAUAAUGAUUCUGACCGAUUAUUCGAUCCCUUUGAAAUAUGUAAGAAUCUUGGUGCAUGUUUGCAGUCUGAUUGAUUGUAUUCUUCGGAAUGUUUUAAGUAUGAACAUUCACUCAAACUUCCGACUGCAUCCUUAUCUCCUUAUUGGAAGUUCUUAACCCAAACAAUUUUCCUACCAGUUUUAUGCUAGUACAGUAGAGAACCAUUGUAAAAAAGAAAUAUGGUCUUCUUCCUCAGAGAUAGCAUCAAUCCUAGGCCACAAGUGUAGUAAGUUAUUCCUGAUUGACUGGUGACUUAUCUUUUGCAUUUCUUGUUAAAAGAUACAAGUUGUAGAUGGUUCUAUCAAGGUUCAGGUUUUUGGAUCAAUCAAUUUACGUUGAAUUGUUGUAUGUAUUGGCCGCUAUUAAUUAUGCAUUAGCAGCGACAUUUGUUGCCACUAAAAGCUAUAUUAAUCACUGCUAAAAGUUUGCAUUAACUCCAGCUUUAGUCCAUGUGAAUGCCACAAUUAGUCACUACUAAGUGGAUGUAUUAGCAGUAACUUUAGUCGUCGUUGCCCCACAAAGUAAGUAUUCGCAGCAAAUUAAACACCACGAAUGCAUCUAAUAGUCGCCAUAAGAGAUAGUAUUAGUAGCAACUAAAGACGCCGCAAAUACAAAUACUAAUCGACAAUAAGAAAUAGUAUUAGUGGCAAUUAUAACCUCCUUUACAUAUAUAUAUAAUACGUUGCUAAAGGUAGAAUCCGUGGGUGGCAACUAAAACAGGCGCAAAAACACAUAUAAGAGCUGCCGCUUCCACCAAAUUAAAAAAAAAGGACGCCGCUAAAAGUUAAUAUUAGUGGCAGCUAAAACCGCCACUAAUUCACAUAAAAGUUGCUGCUAAAUGUUAGUAUUAUUGGAAACUAAAGCCACCACUACAUCAUAGAAUAGUUGUCGCUAAACGUUAGUAUUAUUGGAAACUAAAACCGCCACUACAUCAUAGAAUAGCUGUCGCUAAACGAUAGUGUUGGUGGAAACUAAACCGCCACUAAUUGAUAUAAGCAUUGUUGCAAAACGCAACUAAAACAACCACUGAUUAAUAUAAGAGACGCCGCUAAAACUAAGUAUUAGUGGCAAAAGAAAACCGCCACUAAUUCUUAUUAGUCGCCGCUUAAAGAAAGAUUUAAUGGAACAAAAAUGAGCCACAAAUUCACAUAACAAACGUCACUAAAAGUUAUUAUUUGUGUCAACUAAAACAGCCACAAAAUCAUAAAACAAUUGCCGCUAAAAAUAUUGUAUUAAUGGACACUAAAACAACCAUUAAAUCAAAAAAACUAUUGCAGCUAAAAGAUAGUAUUAGUGGCAAGUAAACCAGCCACUACUCAAAUAAGAGUAACCACUAAAAGUAAGUAUUAGUGGUAACUAAAACCACCACUAAAGGAAAUAAAAGUCGCUGCUAAAAGUAAGUAUUAGUGGCAACUAUAGUGCCACUAAAAAAAUAAAGUUGCCACUAAUUCCUAUAAAAGUCGCCGCUAAAAGAAAGUAUUAGUGGCAACUAUAGUCGCCAGUAAAACAAAUAAAAGUCGACGCUAAAGCAAGUAUUAGUGGCAACUGUAGUCGCCACUAAUUCCUAUAAACGUCGCCGCUAAAAGCAAGUAUUAGUGAAAAGUGAAAACAAAUAUAAGUCGCCGCUAAAAGUGUGUAUUAGUGGCAACUAAAGUCGCCACUAAUUCGUAUAAAAGUCGCAGCUAUUAGUGGCAACUAAAGUCGCCACUAAUUCCUAUAAACGUCGCCGCUAAAAGCAAGUAUAGUGGCAACUCCACUAAAACAAAUAACCGUUGCCGCUAAAAGUGUGUAUUAGUGGCAACUUAUCAGGAAUAUAGCCUUUGACUAGUUGAACAUUCAUAGUUGUUCAUCAUUUGGUCGUUUGUAUAAUUAAGUAAUAUAGUAUUUUCUGUUCUUAAGAGAAGCACUUAUCAGGAGAAACUUGUAUAAGGUUAAAGAAGUGUGCUUUCUUACUCAUUUGAUAGCUCUUACCACACUUCUUAUGAUGGUUCCUCUUUUUUCUCUUUCUUUUGUCUGAUAUCCAUAAAUUUCAUUUUUUUUUGAGUUUCGAAGAUUUGAUAAUUAUUUUUCAAAUGAUAUAAUUUUUGUGAACAGUCAAUGGAACACGGUUAAUUUGAAGAUCCAUCUAAAGCAACGUUCUCGUUGACAGAUGAAGACCAUAUGCUGGCAAAUGCUGCCAGAUUCACUCUAAAUCAAGAGUAAGUAGUUCUCUCUUUUCUUUUUUCAUUAUGCAGUAAUCACAGUUAAUAUUUUCAGUGUUCGCUUUAUUUCCUCAUUCAAAUGAUAUUACAUAUUACAUAAUUUUGUUUGAUGUUUAGUGAUUGGUAAAAUAGAGGCCCUUGGUAUCUCAUUUUGUAACCUUCUGUUGAUCUCAUAUUAAUCUUAUUGUUGCAUGUCCAGUCUUCAAUCCCCCCCAUCCCACCACCUUUUUUUAAGCAGUGUUUUUGUGCAAAAAGCUUAAGAUGAUGAUUAACUGGUAUCUAGUUUCUUGCAGUCCACGAGUAACAUUUUGUGGAUACAGCAUUCCACAUCCCUCCAAUGCACGAGUGACCACAAGAGUUCAGACUACUGGUAAAGCUAAAAACUUUCACCAACUUAUCUUUAUCAAUGAUUUCUCCAACUUAUAAAAGAAAAGCUUAAACGUUUCUCUAGCAAUAGCAAUGCAGGGGUGAUUCGUGGAUCGGAUUUUCUGCUCUUUUUUAAACUUUUGUUUUAUCUAAUGUUCAAAUUGGUAUCCUGCUUCCAAAUGCAUGUAACAUGCUUGAUAAUUGGUACCUAAUUGUGAAAUCUCUCUUCUACCUAUAAUUUUUUCCAACUUGUAUGAUACGAACAUUGUAGUCCUCUUUAUUUAUUAUCCCGCCUAAGUGGACUAUUCUCUCCUUAUGGAGUCUAAGAAUAGAGAGAUAUCCGUGUGCGGUAUUUCCAGUUAAGAAGAUAUCUUAUUUCUAUUUUUUUUUGUUCUGAUGUACACAACAGACCAAACAUAAUUCCUAGAAGCCCAUUCCACUGGGGAGUUGACGUGUAACAAUGUUUCUCCAAAUGAAGUUAAAGUUUUCUUUUUUGAUAUUUUCGAUUAAAAGAACAAUAUAAAGCUAUUCUGUAUUUCAGUAUAUUCUUGUCUAUGUUGCUCAGACUCUUAAAAAUGUCGACGGGUGUGUCUCGGAUCUUCCAAAACUAAUGCAUUUUUGGAGGAUCUGACAUGGGCGCGGAAAUAUUUUGGAGAGUCUGAGCAACAUAGAUUCUUGUCAAGGUUUUGUUGGAGGAAUAUCGUGACGCCCUUCCACUAAGAAUUCCUCUUUUUCUUCUAGCUUUAUAUGAUAUGACCUAUUUAGUAGAUUGUUUUGUUAGAGAUCGCUACAGCAAGUAUAACCUAUUUACUGAUAUAGCCGCCUAGAAAUUGCAAUCACAAUUGUCUUUCCAUAUGUUUAUACACUUCUAUAUCUGUGAAAUGCUGUGGAGUGUGGACCUAUGUUUAAGUUUUGGUCUAUCUGGCUUCUAUUGCAGGAGAUCCAGCAAGGGAGGUAUUGAACGAUUCAUGUCAGGAUCUAAUGCUUAUCUGCGAGAACGUUAGAGACACAUUUGACAAGGCUAUUUUAAAGUUUAAAACUGAAGAAGGUCUGAGCUCUAUGGAUAUGAAGAAAUAAUCGACAAGAAAUUCAUAUAACCUUCUAUCCAAGUGAAAUCUUGCAACCUUAUUUGCACAAAACUUGCAUUUGUUAGAACCAUUUUCCCCCAUAGGCCAUAUAUAUGUUACAUCAGAUUUUUAGCUAUAAUGCUUAUGUUUUAGUUGUGCACUGUCAUGGUGAUCUCCGUGACGAUAGCAGUGCAAAUUUUGGCAAGUCGGUUCACAUAUACAAAAAGUUUACUUUGGGUUGUGCAAAAAUGUUGAUCUGCAUGUCAUAAUGCACUGUGCUUCCCUUUACAUUGGUUAGGAUGGAUUACUAAUACAAUCCUAUGCAAAUUGUUGUGAAUUAUAACUCUAUGUUCUACUUUAUAUGGUACUGAAUCAUGGUUUUUUUUAUCAGCUUGCCUUCGCGUAAAAGUUGUCUAUUCGUACUUUCUUUUUAUUGGCUCUCUCUCAUAUUGUCUUAGCUUGCACGUUAUGAACUCCAGCCAUAGUAACCAUACAAAUGAAAUGAGCCUACUAAUCGAUUUUUCUCUUGGUUUACAUCCCUUUGUUUUAGAUUUGAUUUUACUUUAGUUCUUGUCGUAGAACGACCUUCUGUUCUUUCAAUUGUGUAAGUCUUUCAUUUGGGACUGAUGCAUAAUUACUUUCCACUUGAAUAGUUUUUAACAAUAUUGCUAAACCAAGAAAACAAACUACAAGAUUCUGGUCAAUAUCUUAUUAUUUCAUUGAAAAUGAACAAACCGCUCACAUUGCUAUUGCUAUUGCUAUUGUAGUAUAUAUGUACAACUGAGAUUUAUAAGUAUACACCAACAGAAUUUCAAAUCACGCCUGUACGAAGGGAAAAAUCUGGUUCUUGCACUCAUUGAGCUGACGCUUCUUACAUAUACUCGAGCAAUAUCAGAACUUCAAAUCAUUCCAAACUCGUGUUUGUCUCAUUGCUAAGAUCUGGAAGAUGUUCAGCCGAAGUACAUUACAUUGUUUUUCCUAUAAAGUUUGUCUUCUCGAGGAAGAUGAAUGAAUAAAAAACAUUUCAUAUUUAAGAUGCAUUAGCCAAACAAGGAUUCUUCUGAUUGAGUUUUUUUGUGUGUGAGGCCUUGAGAAGAUAUGUUGAGUAGCCUGCAAGAUUGUUCUACCAUCAGUUUAUAAGUAGAGGGAUGCUUCCAAGCUAUAAACGAGAACUGAUCACCGUAUUGUUCCAUUCCUUCCACCAAUAGCUGCCAAACUAAGGCUCCUGCACCACCUUUCCUCUUCUUUGCUAACUCAUAAAUCUUGUCAUAAACUAUUUUUAGAAAAAUAUUUCUAACGUAUAAUCCAUUCUUUUGUAUACUCGAAGGAAAACCAACUUUUGUGAAGAGAACAGGUUUCUUAAGAAUCUUUUCAGCUUCACUAAUGUGAGAAUCAACCCAAUGAGAUAGAAAAUCUACUCGCGCGUCUGAAUUUAUUCCACCUUUGAUCCUGCAAGAGAACAUCUUUUAACAGAAUCGAAGAAGGCAGUUAAAAACACAUAUGAGCUUAAACUUCUACAUAUGCUACUAUAAAAAUGUAUCUGAUUUGGAAUAAAUUUACUCUGCUUGACUAACCAACUGUGGGGGUAUGUGAAUGGAAGUAAAAUCAAAGUUUUCUAUAUCCGAGUUCUCAAUGAAGUCCACUCCAAGUGAUGCAGCCCAUUUCCCUGGGUUCAAUCCAACGUUUCCAGCUUUCUCCACACCAUAAAAGCCCUCAAGUCCAAUGGUCACGAGAUGCUUCUGAUCCAAGCUUUUGACAAAUUCAGCCAUCUCUGCUAUCCACGCCAAUAAUUCCUAUAAAAGUCGCCGCUAAAAGCAAGUAUUAGUGGCAACUAAAACCACCACUAAUUCCUACAAAAAUUGCCGCUAAAAUCAAGUAUUAGUGGCAACUAUAGUCGCCACUAAAACAAAUAAAAGUCGCCACUAACAGUAUGUAUUAGUGGCAACUAUAAUCUCCACUAAAACAAAUAAAAGUUGCCGCUAAAAGUAAGUAUUAGUGGCAACUAAAACCGCCACUAAAACAAAUAAUAGUCGCCGCUACAAGUAAAUAUUAGUGGCAACUAAAACCGCCACUACAACAAAUAAAAGUCGCCGCUAAAAGUAAGUAUUAGUGGCAACCAUAACCGCUACUAAAACAAUUAACAGUCGCCACAAUCCCUGGAUUAGCUAAUACCUUAAAUCAUGGGAUAUCGUUAUCCCGCCUUCUAUAUGGGAUAGUAAUCAUAUUGUUUACAAAUAUCGAGAUAAAACAAUCCCAGGAUUAGCUAAUACCUUAAAUCAAAUAUGGGAUAAAGUUAAUUCCAAAUUUUAUCCUGAGAUGCCUUAUCCCAGGUACCAAACGACCCUUAAGAGUUUCACAUCGGCAUCUGGGGCUUUGCUUUAGUGAUAAGAGCGCAUCACGUAAUGUGUCAGAAAUUGGGCACGUCAUGGAUUCAAACCUUAUUGUAAAUAAAAAUGUAUGGUAUUUAAGCGAAAAAGAGGACGGAUGGAUCCAUUAUCCUCCGAGGAUUGCACUUUGUUUAGGCAAAACACUUUUGGGGAAACCAAAUGAAAACAAAAAGCCUUGUAUAGUGAAGAAGGGUAGAAGAGCCCAACACGUGAUGUAUGAGUUAGGCGUAUGCCAUAGACUCGAACACUAAUAAUGAUAAAAUCCUAAUUCUUAAGUGGAAAAAGGUAAACGAAUGGGCCAUUAUCCACCAAAUUUCUAAUUGUGUGCCAACUGACCUUCAAAAAUUUCUCAAUUAUAAAAGAUAAAUUUUAAAUGUUCAAAAUUUAAAACACUCUAACAAAAUAUUUUAGAGGAGACCAAAAGAAAAGAUUUGGCAGAAAAAAAUGGUCCCAAAGAAAGGAUUGAAGUUGAUAGUUCACCACCAACUAAAAUAGAGGAUAAGGAGGAAUGAGGAAUUAACUUAAAUAGUCGUUUAAUUAAAAAUAGUCCGCCAGUAGAAAUUAUAUAUAUAUAUAUAUAUAUAUAUAUAUAUGUAAAAAAAAGAAGUAAAUAAUGAUUCUGACCGAUUAUUUGGGUGAAGAUCCCUUUAAAAUAUGUAAGAAUCUUGGAAAAUCUCCAAAAAUAUUGGUGGUGGGCGUUGACAAAUUCUUUGCUGGAAUAUCAAGCAAUUUGAUGAUUUUAUAUUUUGUAAUACAGAAAUUUUGACUUGUUGUGACAUGUGAGAGUUGUGGAUCAAUAGAGGGUGGAAUUUAUUUUGAGAUCCAACUCAUCUAAAUUUUAAUUGAGAAGUCUCAUUUUGAAGAUUUGUAAAUAAAGUUUGAACCCAAAAGCUCUUGAUAAAAAUAAAAAAUACUACCCACAAACUUCAAAAUACUAGUCAACUUAUCUAUUUCCAUUUUACAAUUCUUAUUUGGUGCAGAUAAUAUUACUUAUAUUAGUUUAAUUAAAAUGAUCUAAACAAUUCCUUUACAAAGAAGCAUUCCAUGUUUGAAUGUUGACUUGAAGAUAUUAACAUAUUCAAAACUGGCUGGUUAUUUUAAAAUAAUAAGACAUGAAAACAGUUGCAAUUUUUAAAUUAUUAAUCCACUGCCCAAUUGUCAUGAAUUCAUUAUCAAAUUUCAACUAAUUAUUCUUUAAUUACAACUAGAAUAUUUAUUGAUCAAUAACUAUGAAAAAUAAAACUUCAACUAUUAAUGGUAUGUUAGAGUGAAUUGGAUGAUCGAGAUGUAGAUUGCUCCGUCUUCUCCUCAAAUUCAUUUUCUAAUAUGAAUCUUGAGUUAUUAAAAUGUAUUUGAUUUGAGCUUCCUAAAUUUGUUUUUUAUACGUAAGAGAUCUUCAUUUUUAUCGAUAAGAGAUUUUUAUUUUUAUAUACUAAGAUGUUUACUUAAUUUCUAAGAUGACGUGUCAAAUAUCAAUUGGUUUUCCUGUAUAGUAUAAUUUUGUGGACUUGAUUAAAAUAAGUUGGAGUAGAUCCAGAAUUUUGUCACCUGUCUUCUUCAUAGCACAACUUUUUGUGUUCUCCAUCUUUUUAACUUCUUCACAAUUGUUCAUCCCAAACCAAAAUCAAUAAAAAGAAAUAAUUUUUUUUAUUAUACAAAUAAAUAACAAAGUUAUAUUAUGGAGGGAAAUAUCAAGGAUGUUAUCAAAUAUUGGAUAGAAGGAGAAAUUGAAAGUUUUGUUAAGGUAUGGUUAUUAAUUUAUGUAUCACUUUGUUAUUGCUAUUUAUCAUCUAAAAUUCUUCCAAAAGGUUCAUUUAGGCUCUUUUCUUUUUUACCUGUGAUAUUUUUUUUCCUUUAUGUUCCACUUAAAAUUAAUUCUGUUCAUCUUUGUGGUAACACUGGUUUUUUCAUUUCUUGGCUUUGUAAUUUUAAACUUAUUUUACUUGCUUUUGACCAAGGUCCACUUUCUGAUUCUUCACUUUCUAUUAUUAAAUUUGUAUUUCUUGCUUGUUUACCUAUCAAGAUUCAACAAAAAUCUCAACUUUAUGUGGAAAAUGAGGUUAAUAGAGAUAAAUUUCAUCAAAAUAGUCAUUUUCAAGAAACCCCUUCUCUAAAUUCAUCUGAAAAAAAGAAUUUUGCAAAAAAUGACCAUUUUCAAGAAACUCAAUUUCCAAACUCAGAUGAUAAAAUUGAAAACAACCCUUAUCAAGAUGGAUAUUUUUAUGAAACCCCAUCUAAAAAGUUAGUUGAAAAUGGUUCUAUUGUGCAAAAUGGAAAGGAGUUUGCACAAAAUGGCCAUUUUCAAGAAACUCCAUUUCCCUCUUUUGCAAUCUCCAACAAAGGCCAAAUGUUAAAUUAUGGCAUAAAGACACUUCUUUUUGCUUUAAUUAUUAGAGUUUAUGACUAUAGUGAUUAUAUACAUCCCUAUAUCAUUAUGGUCAUCUAUUGCUUCCACAUUUACCUUAGCUUAGAUAUUAUUCUAGCUAUUGUUUCGGGCUUGGCCCGCGGGAUUCUCGGGCUUCAGCUCGAACCACAGUUCAACGAACCGUAUUUAUCAACUUCACUACAAGAUUUUUGGGGCCAGCGUUGGAAUCUCAUCGUCACUCGUAUCCUUAGGCCCACUAUAUACAAGCCCGUUCUAAGCCUAUCCGCGAACAUUUUGGGCCGGAAGUGGGCCCCAAUUCCCGCGGUGAUGGCUACAUUCGCUGUUUCGGGCCUAAUGCAUGAGCUAAUAUUUUACUAUUUGGGCCGGGUUAAGCCCACUUGGGAGAUCACUUGGUUCUUUUUGCUUCAUGGGGUGUGUUUAAACGUCGAGAUUUAUGCUAAGAAGGUGAUUAACGGUAGAUUUAAGCUACCACGGAUUAUCGGGACAAUCUUGACCAUUGGAUUCGUUAUGAUCACGGGUUUCUGGCUGUUUUUUCCACAAUUGUUAAGGUGUAAUUCUGAUGUUAGAGCAUUUGCAGAGUAUGAAGCAAUUGGUGCAUUCUUUAAGGAUGUCACUAGGGCUGUGAAUUCAACAUUUUCGAGAUAAUUCAUCAAGUAGGCGUGUCAAAUGGGCGUGCUGAAUUACAUUUGAACGGGCCAAAACGGGCUGAGGAACGACUUGGAUAUAGGUCAUGUACUGGCUGAUUUAGCCACCCUGUGGGUUCUUAUUCAUGUACCAUAGAGUACAUUGUAAAACAUUCAUCUAAUUGAAGUAUUAUUAAUUAAUCUCGCAUUAUACUAAUCAAUUCUAGCAUAACUUGUAUCUAAACUAAAUGACCCCGCUUAAAGGAUCAUUUGAUUGAUUUUUAUCAAUCUCAACACAUACAAUUAACAUAAGACAAUAUUCCCCUAUUCUUAUUUAUAUGACACCUUUUGAAUUUGGAGAUUCAAACAUGUCGUAUGGAGUAGGCCGGUUAUCAUGAGGUUCCCUACUCUUUACCCUAGACAUCUUGAAGCGAGCUAGUCUUGUAAGUUGUAAGGUUUAUCAAAGGGCGGCUUAAAAAGAGAUUAACUAUUUGGAUUCAAAUGGGUUUUAUAGUUAAACACUCUUAUCAAAAUGGUUAGGAGUGCAAUCUUGGUAACAAGAUUUAGAGUUGAUGAUUUUGUACUCUUUUGAAUGGUUUUAGUUGAUGAUAUUUGAAACUUUUUAGGCAAACAAACCAAGGGACUGUGUUAAAAAGAAAACAAAGCAUAAAACGCAUCAGGUGGAUUUAAGUUCAUUUUAGUUUAUAAGCUACUAAGCGGGUUAAUAGUGGCAUUGGGCCUACAUACGGAGCUAGGUAGGGUCAAUAGGGUUCGAAAAAAAACUUUGAAUGAAAAAUUGCACUUUUUAUAUAUCGUUAAAAUGAUUUUUUAUGUGUAUAUAGGACAUUGUUUAGGGAUACAGAGAAAACCCCUUCUACUUCUUUGUACAUUUAUUUCUUCAUAUUUUGAACCUUCUUAGUGCAAAUUCUGGCUCUAUUUGCCUAGAUAUCAAAUGAGAGUAACAUUUGAUUGUUUUUUUUAAAGUCAAAUGACAAUAAUAACAUAUUCAGUGAAAUUCUACCAGGUCUGAAAGAAUUAAGUGUAUGCACACCUUACUACUACCUUAUUAAGAUAAAGAGACAUGUAUUUUUAUUCAAGCAUGACUAGUAGUAGUCUUAUAGACUAUAUUACUAGUGGACAUGUGAUAUUGGUAGGACUAACUAGGUUACCAUACUUGGCAAAUUCUAAGAAAGCAAUAAAUUCAGUACAUGCUUUAAUUUCUGCUUUACCCCUCAAAAAAGGUGGAAAAAACAACCAAAAACUUGUCAAAAUUAUAAAUCCUAUUGCUAAUGGUCCUGAGAUAAUUUUAGGAACCAAAACUUUGCCAUUCAACAAUUUCUUGAUCACAAUUUCUAUUGUCAAAGCCACCCCAUUAAUGAUAAAGAAGCAUGUGACUUCUCCACUAGGCUUUAGUCUUCCAAUGUUGUAGAAAAUCAGCUCAUGCAUUAUCCCCGAGACGAAGAACGUCGCGAUCACCGCAGGAAGUGGGGCCCACUUCCUCGAGAUCCUGUCCGUCAUCAUCGACCGGACAGGAACGUAAACGGUCAUAUGGAGAAGUUUAGUUACCAUGAGGUUCCACCUUUUACCCCAGAAAUCUUGAAGCGAGCUAGUUUUGUAAGGCUCAUCAAAGGGUGGCUCGAGCUCGACUUGACUUACGACUCGUACCAUGGUGCUAACCAUGGUCAAGAUUAUUUCUAGGGAGAAAUAAAUGUGGAAACAAUAUAAAAGGAGAAUAAUAUUUGGAUGUAAAUGGGCUUUAAAGGUAUACACCCAUAUCAAAAUGGCUAGAAGUGCAAUGUUGAUAACAACAUUUAAAGUUGAUUUUGUACCCCUUUGAGUGGUAUUAGUUGAUGGUGUUUGAAACUUUAUAGGCAAACAAGCCAAUGGAAUAAAUGUUAAAAGUGAAAGAGGUGGGAUUGAUGACAAAGGGCCUUUACCAAAAGAAAAAAGAAUUAGCUUGAAAGUGGCUAGCCAUGCAAUGAAAAAAGAAGUAAUGGCACCAAGAUUGAUAGAAGUAAGAUAAAGAGGAAGAAUGAAAAAUAGACAAACAAUUGGAAUUAUAGCCACAAAUCUUGAUUUUCCAUUUGGAAAGAAUUUGACAAUUGUGUGAGAAUAACAUAAACUUGUUAAGACAAUAGUCCAUAUUACAAUGAAAUUGUGGAUUUCCCCUUCCAUUUCUUUGUUAAUUUCUUCUACUUCUUGAAAGAUGGCUUGAAUUUAAAGAUAACCUUUUUUGUUUCUAAUUAGAAAAAAAUAAUAUGUUAUGAUUGUCAACAUAGGGAGGCAAGGAAUAUUUUGAUGUCACAUAAGAUUAGUCAUCAUAUGAUUAUUAAUUAAGAAAUAUAUACAAUGAAACUUCUCUAUAAUCACAUCAUUUAUUCAAAUAUUUUUAUAGUUAAUUAUAGAAAACAUAUAAUAUAACAUAAUAUGAAAGUUGAUUCUAAAGAAAUCGUCAUUGUUAUUAUAAAGAAUGACACUUAUAGAGAAGUCUGAUUGUAUUGCACAAGAUCAAGAUGAUCAAUGAUGACGCCAAAUUUUUUGACGGAUAGUGUUCAAGACUUAAAUUAUUAUAUAAAAAGUAAUUUUAACCUAUAUAAGCAAUAAAAUUUUCUAUAUACCUUCGAUAAAGAAUAUUCAACUAAUUACCAUUUAAUCUAUGUGACUUCGUCGCAAACAAGCAUGUCAUUAUUGAGAUUAUUAAAAUAUCCAACUAUACAUAUAUAAUCUCUUAUAUAUCAAACAAGUAAUGGAUGUAACAUAUGUUAUUAGUUUAAAUGUCAAACAUUUGAAUCUAAAAAGUCCAUGCUCUAUAGAUAACAUCAGAUCCCAGUUUUAAAGACUUGGAAAAUAAAAUAUAAAGAAUAAUUGUUCAAUUUGUUGUAAAAAAUAAAUAAGUUAUGCUUUCAAUAUUAAAUUGGAAUACUUGAAAAUGAAAGGAAUGACACGAGAUAGUCGUGGAUAGCACUAGCACCCCUCUUAUAUAUUCGAUUUUUAAAAUUAUUUAAAAUUUGGUCAAUUUUGACAAACUUCAGACUAAACUUGUUGGCGUUGUUGCUUUUUUAUACUUUCGUGUCUAAGAGUUGCGCUAUGCCAAAGCCUAAUUUUAGACUUCGGUAAAACCCAACUUCUAAAUAGGGGCGGAGUUAGCUUAAGCCUAAGGGAAUAAACAUUGGAAUUUACAUAUGGCUAGAUUAUUGCUUUAUGCCCGAACACAAUUUUGAUAUUUCAAUAAAAUGACUAGUUUGAUAGAGAUUUCUUUUGUUUAGUAAGGCAAUGAAAAACUAUUUCAUUAGAGUUGCUUAAAAAAAUUCUCUUUUUCUCAUUCACUCAAAAGGAUGCGGACACACUAACACGAAUUAGAGGUGAACCUUCUCUCCGGCCCCACUUCCAUAUGUCUUCUAUAUUCACCACACAACAAAAUAUGUUGUAUCAUAAAUAGCAAAAAUGCUCUAUUAAUGUUUUUUUUAUUGGAAUCAUCUUGCAAGAAGAAAGAAAUUGAAAGGAAGAUUCACAAUUUCGUUGUUGUAUGGACUAUUAUAUUGUAUUAAAUCGAGAUCUUUCGAUGCAAAUUUAACUUUAAUAACAUCUAGAUGGAAAAUUCUAUUAAUUUCAACUAUCAAAGGAAAUAUUGGUACAAAUUUAUUAGUUCAAGACUAUAAAAUUCAAUUUCUUUUCAUUUUUUUUUUAAUUUUAUGUUUAUUAAAAUGAGACAAACAAAAACAAAAUGUUAUAAGCUUUGAUGAACGUGACACUUGGGGCCAAUAUUCAAGAAAAGAGAGAGGAUUCCAAAUGUAGGUGAAGAACAGACUUCCAAAUUUGACUAACAUUGCUUUUAUUGCACACUGCUAUUUGGACCCAACAAAAAAGUUCAAAAAAAUUAAUGGCAAGAAAAAAAUACUCCGUUUUUUAAUUUGUUUGUCUGAUUAUCACAAAAUACUUGUGAUAAAGAUUUCACAAGAUUUCCAUGAUUAAAAAGAAGUUGGGAUGAAACAAAAACGAAUUCAAAAUUUAAAAUAUAUAAUUCAACUUAGCCACUUUUAUAAUAGCGUGUUUAAUCAAAUAUUUUUUUACAACAUGUUAAAUAAAAAUAUACUAAUAAUGUAAAAAUUCUUUACACCAUUAUAAUGAUAAAAGUUAAUUCCAUAGAAGAUAUUACCUAUAUGUAUAAUUGGAUUUUUAAAUAAUUUGAUUUCAUUAAAUUAUUAUUAGUAUAAAAAGAAUAGAUUAUUUUAUAUUAUACAAGAUCUCUUUCAUCAAGUGCAAUAAAAUAUCCCCACCCACCCCACUUCCAUAUGUCCCCUAGGUCCAUCAUCACUACAUUUUUUAUUUCUAAAAUUAUCUCUUAGUUAAAGCCAUAUUUUUCCAAGAAGAAGAAGGAGAAGAAAUGGAAGGGGAGAUCCACAAUUUCAUAGUGGUAUGGACUAUUGUUUUAAUAAGUUUAUGUUAUUCUCACACAAUUGUCAAAUUCUUUCCAAAUGGCAAAUCAAGAUUUGUGGCCAUAGUUCCAAUUGUUUGUCUAUUUUUCAUUCUUCCUCUUUAUCUUACCUCUAUCAAUCUUGGUGGCACUACUUCUUUCUUCAUUGCAUGGCUAGCCAAUUUCAAGAUUCUUCUUUUUGCCUUUGGUAAAGGACCGUUGUCAUCAAUCCCACCUCUACCACUUUCAACAUUCAUUCCCUUAGCUUGUUUGCCUAUAAAAUAUCAAAAAUAUUCAACUAGUGAUAAUGUUGAAACCACAAAAAAGACCACAAAUUCAACUCUGAUCAAUCUUGUUACCAAGAUUACACUUCUAGCCACUUUGAUUAGGGUGUAUAAUUAUAAACACAAUUUACAUCCAAAACUCCUUCUCUUUUGUUAUUGCCUCCACAUUUACUUUUUCCUAGAAAUCUUAUUAACCAUGGUUAGUACUAUGGUUCGAGUUGCGAGCCGAGUCGAACUCGAACCACCUUUCGAUGAACCUUACAAGACUCGCUCACUUCAGGAUUUCUGGGGCAAGAGAUGGAACCUCAUGGUAACCAAUAUACUUCGUCCAACCGUCUACGACCCUGUUCGGUCAUUGAUGUUGGACCGAAUCCCGAGGAAGUGGGCCCCACUUCCCGCGGUGCUCGCGACGUUUUUCAUCUCGGGGUUAAUGCAUGAGCUGAUUUUUUACUACAUUUCAAGAGAGAAGCCUAGUUGGGAAGUCACAUAUUUUUUUAUUAUUCAUGGUGUAGCUUUGAGUAUUGAAAUUAUGGUCAAGAAAUUGUUAAAUGACAAAUUUUUGGUCCCUAGGUUUAUUUCAGGUCCAUUAGCAUUAGGAUUUAUAAUUUUGACAAGUUUUUGGUUGUUUUUUCCACCAUUAUUGAGGGGUAAGCCAGAUGUCAAAGGAUGUAAUGAAGCAAUUGCUUUAUUAGAAUUUGUUAGGUAUGGUAAACUAGUUAGUCCUGAGAAUAUCACUUGUCCAUUCAUGUAAGAUUAGUUAUAAAUUGUUCACAUUGAAAUAGAACAACCUCAAAUUAUAGAACUUUUAAUUUCAAAAUUUUCUUUUCAAGAAAAAGCUUUUUUUUAUUGUGUACAAUAAUUAUUUGAUAUUCGGAACUUAUAACUAGUUCGAUUAAUUCAGAUUUCUCGUGUAUAGCCUAAUUAAAAUAAAACUGCUCUCCACAAGGAGUUUAUUCAUUUUUCAAACUCAUAUUUGAAACCUUCGAUUAAAGAUAGAGCGAUGGAGUGACUCUACUAAGGGGUCACUAGCUAGAUCGGGAAAUGCGCGCUCUCAAGACUAUGAAUGAAGUUUCUUCUCUCUUCACACUUAAGUGCAAUUGCUUUAAAAAUAUUGUAAGCUAUGUACCAUUUUAAUCUUUUCAAAAGUACCAAAAAAAUAGGAAAUCUCACAUGCCAUUCAAAUUAAUUAACUCCAUCAUAACUCAUACAAUCAUAAUUCGUCCACCAUAAAAUAAAUAUUUUCUUAUAGAAGUGGACAAGUUAUAUUGGUAGGAUUAAUUAAUUUGCCAUACCUAAUAAACUCUAAGAAAGCAAUAAAUUCAGUACAUGCUUUAAGCUCUGUAUUACUCCUCAAAAAAGGUGGAAAAAACAACCAAAAACUUGUGAAAAUUAUAAAACUAAGUGCUAAUGGACCUGAAAUAAUCCUAGGAACCAAAAACUUUCCAUUGAAAAUUUUCUUGAUAACAAUUUCAAGACUCAAAGCGACUCCAUGAAUGAGAAAGAACAUCAUGACUUCACCAUUAGGUUUCAAUCUUCCAUUGUAGUAGAAAAUCAGCUCAUGCAUUACCCCCGAUACGAAAAACGUCGCGAUCACAGCUGGAAGUGGGGCCCACUUCCUCGAGAUCCGGUCUGCCACCAUUGAAUGUAUAGGGUCAUAUAUGGUUGGACGGAGUAUAUUGGUUACCAUAAGGUUCCACCUCUUGCCCCAGAAAUCCUGAAGUGAGCUAGCUAGGUAAGGCUCAUUGAAGGGUGGCUCGAGCUCGACUCGACUCACCCUUCGAACUGUGGCGCUAACCAUGAUCAAUAUGAUCUCUAGCAUAAAGUAAAUGUGGAGGCAAUAACAAAAUAGAAUGAUUUUUGGAUGCAAAUUGUCUUUAUAAUUAUACACCCUUAUCAAAGUGGCUAAAAGUGCAAUCUUGGUAACAAGAUUGAAAGUUGAAUUUGUAGCCUUUUUUGUGGUUUCAACAUUGUCACUAGUUGAAUUUUUUUGAAACUUUAUAGGCAAACAAGCCAAAGGAAUGAAUGUUGAUAGUGGUAGAGGUGGGGUUGAUGACAAAGGGCCUUUACCAAAGACAAAAAGAAGAAUCUUGAAAUUGGCUAGCCAUGCAAUGAAGAAAGAAGUAGUGCAACCAAGAUUAAUGGAGGUGAGAUAAAGAGGAAGAAUGAAAAAUAGACAAAUUAUUGGAAAUAUAGCCACAAAUCUUGAUUUGCCUUUGGGGACGAAUUUGGCUAUGGUGUGAGAAUAACAUAAACUUGCUAUGACAAUAGUCCAUACAACAAUGAAAUUGUGAAUUUCCCCUUCCAUUUUUCUCUUUCUUCUUCUUCUUCUUCUUGAAAGAUAAAUGGAAUUUAAAGAUGUCUAUAUUAUUAUUUCUAAUAAGAAAAAGUCAUAUUAUAUGAGUCAUUAUACAAUAUGAUUGUUGACUUAGGGAACAUGUGGAAGUGGGGUUGGGGAGAAAUAAAUUAUUAAGAAGUUGUCAUCUAAGAUAUGUUUGGUAAUUAAGGGAAGAUAUUUAAUUUGCACAUGAUCUAUGGGAUCUUUUCUUUUUUGGAAAGAGUUUUAAUUUUUUUAUAUUUAUCUGUUAUGAUUUAGCUAAUUAUGUUACUAGUCUAAUUAGUUAGUUAGUUAGUCUAUUCAAUUAAUUAGUUAGAAUAGUAAGUCAGCUGAAUUCUGUUAUUCUGUUAUUGUUAGUACAGCUCAUUAGUUAGUUAGAUAUUUUGAUUCCUUUUUGUAUAAAUACGUUGUUUCCUCAUAAUGAAAAUUAGUUGGUUGAUUCUCUCCACACUCUCUUCUUCACUGAUUUCUCUCUACUGCAUUCAUGGAUAAUCAGCCAUGGUUGUGAGCUGAUUUUGACAACAUGGUCAACAGGUCAAGGCAGUCUAGUGUUUUGUGAAGAGUUAAGUAACUUUUGACAGUAUAAUAACGGUAAUAUCUACUCGCAUUGAACAUUUAUAUCAAAUAAAUAGAUAUACGGUCACACAUAGUUGUAAUAAUACUGUUUGUCAGGAAAAUUUCAUGACUGACAUUUGAUGUUUAGAUCUUAUUUAUUUGUUAUACUAGAUAUUGGAGUCUGUAUUAGCACGGACUCAAUAUGUAUCAUUUUUUAUUUCAAUUUAUGUGACAAAGACAAAAUUAAAGAGUUAAUCAAAUUUUAAUAUUAAUUUAAAAUAGUUUCUUUUUUUAAUUAUUGUUAACUAUGGUAAAAGAAAAUUUAUGUCUUUUAACAUUCUAAAUUGCUAAUUAUUGUUGUAUGAUUUGUAAUAUCUUUUACGCAAUUUUGAAAUAAUAAAGGUUAUUUCUUCUUUCUCAAUUUAUGUGGUACUAAUAAAAUUUAGAGAUUCAAUCAANNNNNNNNNNNNNNNNNNNNNNNNNNNNNNNNNNNNNNNNNNNNNNNNNNNNNNNNNNNNNNNNNNNNNNNNNNNNNNNNNNNNNNNNNNNNNNNNNNNNNNNNNNNNNNNNNNNNNNNNNNNNNNNNNNNNNNNNNNNNNNNNNNNNNNNNNNNNNNNNNNNNNNNNNNNNNNNNNNNNNNNNNNNNNNNNNNNNNNNNNNNNNNNNNNNNNNNNNNNNNNNNNNNNNNNNNNNNNNNNNNNNNNNNNNNNNNNNNNNNNNNNNNNNNNNNNNNNNNNNNNNNNNNNNNNNNNNNNNNNNNNNNNNNNNNNNNNNNNNNNNNNNNNNNNNNNNNNNNNNNNNNNNNNNNNNNNNNNNNNNNNNNNNNNNNNNNNNNNNNNNNNNNNNNNNNNNNNNNNNNNNNNNNNNNNNNNNNNNNNNNNNNNNNNNNNNNNNNNNNNNNNNNNNNNNNNNNNNNNNNNNNNNNNNNNNNNNNNNNNNNNNNNNNNNNNNNNNNNNNNNNNNNNNNNNNNNNNNNNNNNNNNNNNNNNNNNNNNNNNNNNNNNNNNNNNNNNNNNNNNNNNNNNNNNNNNNNNNNNNNNNNNNNNNNNNNNNNNNNNNNNNNNNNNNNNNNNNNNNNNNNNNNNNNNNNNNNNNNNNNNNNNNNNNNNNNNNNNNNNNNNNNNNNNNNNNNNNNNNNNNNNNNNNNNNNNNNNNNNNNNNNNNAAAUAUUGUGUAAAAAAUGUGUAUUUAUUGUGAUUUUGAAUGUUUUGUGGGGUAAUAUGACGCACGCAAAGUUAAGAUGUUUUUUUAAAAAUCCGGGACAACUUCAAGUAUCACUUAAUGUUUUUUCUCAAAAUCUAAUUUACUUUCGUAAACUAUGUGUCAAAUCAAAAUCAAAUUAACAAAUUCAAAAGGAAUGAGUAAUAAAUAGCUCAUACAACUAAAUAAUAAAUAUGUAACUAAAAAUCUUGUUAGCUUUUAGUUGAAAGCUAACAAGAUAGUUACAAUCAUAGUUGCAUUGUGGCUUAUUAACAAAAAGUACACAAAAAGAUUAGUUUAAUAAUUUUGUGUACUAAGAAAGAAGAAAGAACGUACUCCAUCCAUUUUAAUUUAUGUGGCACUUUUCAAAUUUUAAAAUUUAAAUAAAUCUAUUUUUGACGCUCGAUCGGAAAAUGCUCUCAAGGAUAUGAAAAUUCUUCUUCCGACAGAUUUAAGCGACGUUGUUUUUGAUUAAAGACGGUAACCAAAGCUACCUUUAAAAUCUUUUCCAAAAUACAAAAAAAAAAACAUUAAAAUUAAUUGUAUCAUAAAUCAUACAAACCUUAGUACACCAUGAAAAAAAUAGUCUUACAGAAAUGAACAUGUGAUAUUGGUAGGACUAAUUAAUUGACCAUACCUAAUAAAUUUAAAGAAAGCAAUAUAUUCCGUACAUAAUUUAAACUCUGUAUUACUCCUCAAAAAAGGAGGAAAAAAGAACCAAAAACUUGUGAAAAUAAUAAAUGCUAGUGCUAAUGGACCUGAAAUAAUCCUAGGAACCAAAAUUUUGCCAUUCAACAUUUUCUUCAUAACAAUUUCAACACUCAAAGCGACUCCAUGAAUUAGAAAGAAUAUCAUGGCUUCACCGCUAAGCUUCAAUCUUUCAAUAAUGUAGUACAAAAGUAGCUCAUGCACUAGCCCCGAGGCAAAAAACGUGGCGAGCACAGCUGGAAUUGGGGCCCACUUCCUUGGGAUCCGGUCCGCCACAAACAAACGGACGGGGUCAUAGACAGUCAAACGGAGAAUAUUAGAUACCAUGAGGUUCCACCUCUUGCCCCAGAAAUCCUGGAGCGAGCUAGUCAGGUAAGGCUCAUUGAAGGGUGGGUCGAGGUCGAGGUCGACUCGACUCACCCCUCGAACCACGGCGCUAACCAUAUUCAAUAUGAUCUCUAACAUGAUGUAAAUGUUUAUACAAUAACAAAAGAGAAUGAAUUUUGGAUGUAAAUUGUCUUUAUAAUUAUACACCCUUACCAAAAUGGCUAGAAGUGUAAUCUUGGUAACAAGAUUGAAAGUUGAAUUUGUAGCCUUUUUGAUGGUUUCAACAUCUUUAGUUUUUGAUGAUUUUUUAAACUUAAUAGGCAAACAAGCCAAGGGAAUGAAUGUUGAAAGUGGUAGAGGUGGGGUUGAUGACAAAGGGCCUUUACCAAAAGUAAAAAGUAUGAGCUUGAAAGUGGCUAGUCCUGUAAUGAAGAAGAAAGUAGUAGCACCAAGAUUAAUUGAGGUGAGAUAAAGAGGAAGAAUGAAAAAUAGACAAACUAUUGGAAAUAUAGCCACAAAUCUUGAUUUGCCUUUGGGAAUGAACUUGGCUAUGGUGUGAGAAUAACAUAAACUAGCUAAGACAAUAGUCCAUACAACAAUGAAAUUGUGAAUUUCCCCUUCCAUUUCUCUCUUUCUUCUUCUUCUUCUUGAAAGAUAAAUGGAAUUUAAAGAUAUGAUUAUUGACUUAGGGAACAUGUCACAUGUGGAAGUGGGGUCGGGUAGAAGUAGAGUAUUUCAAAUAUAAUACGUAAUUAUUAGCAUGGAUGACCGUGCAAGCACGGGUCCGAUAUAAGCAGGUUAAAUGUGCACAUGAAAUAUAUAUAUAUAUAUAUGAUGUUUAAAUCUUAUUUAGUGGUUAUAAGAAAAAGUACGGAAAAAGCAGUGUAAUGCUUUUUUGCAACAACUAGAACAAAUAUAUUUGCAAACCAAUUUUAAAAAGAAAAAAAAAUAUAAAGAGUAUGAACGUCAAAAAGGCAAACAUCAAUAGCUUUAUUUAAACCUAAUAACAACGUCAUGUUGUGAUUAUCGAACAAUGUUUUUAGAAAAUUUCAUGGUCGACCAUUAUUAAGAAUGAGGACAUCCAAUGUCAUCAUCUUAGUACUAUUAUUGAAGAUUUUCUAUAAUUAAUUUGUUGAAUGUCAUAAAGACUUUUAUUGAACCAAUUUGGGGAAUGGUAUGCAAAUGUCUCAUCUUAUUAGCAAACGAAAUGCACAAACAUGAUGAAGAUUUAAUAAUCUCGAUCAAGAAAUGUUCUCAAUUUUUCUUUCAACUAAUUUAAGUGAACGUUUCUUUUGAAAAACGAUAAGCCAAAAUAACCUUUUUAGUCUUUUCUAAAAAGAAAACAAAAAAGUAGAAAAUUUCACGUUGCACUCGAAGUAAUUUAUUUUUAUCAUAACACAUAUGAUACAAACCUUAGUCCACCAUGAAUAAAUAUUCUUACAAGAGUGGACAUGUGAUAUUGGUAGGACUAAUUAAUUGACCAUACCUAAUAAAUUUAAAGAAAGCAAUAGAUUCACUACAUGCUUUAAACUCUGUGUUACCCCUCAAAAAUGAAGGAAAAAACAUCCAACAACUUGUGAAAAAUAUAAAUGCAAGUGCUAAUGGGCAUGAAAUAAUCCUAGGAACAAAAAAUUUGCCAUUGGAAAUUUUCUUGAUAACAAUUUCAACACUCAAAGCCACUCCAUGAAUUAGAAAGAAUAAGAUGUAUUCACCAUUAGGCAUCAAUCUUCCAUUGUAGUUGAAAAUCAGCUCAUGCAUUAGCCCCGAGACGAAAAACGUCGCAAGCACGGCCGGAAGUGGGGCCCACUUCCUCGAGAUCCGGUCCGCCACUAUCGAACGGACGGGAUCGUAUACAGUCGGACGGAGUAUAUUAGUUACCAUGAGGUUCCACCUCUUGCCCCAGAAAUCCUGGAGCGAGCUAGCUAGGUAAGGCUCAUCGAAGGGUGGCUCGAGCUCAACUCGACUCACCCCUCGGACCACGGCACUAAUCAUAUUAAAUAUGAUCUCUAACAUGAAGUAAAUGUGAAAGCAAUAGAAGGAGAGAAUAAUUUUUGGAUGCAAAUAAUCCUUAUAGCUAUACACCCUAAUGAAAAUGGCUAGGAGUGCAAUCUUGGUAACAUGAUUUAAAGUUGACUUUGUGGUCUUUUUUUUGGUUUCAACAUUAUCAUUAAUUGAAUAUUUUUUAAACUUUAUAGGCAAACAAGCCAAGGGAAUGAAUGUUGAAAGUGGUAGAGGUGGGGUUGAUGAUAAAGGGCCUUUACCAAAAGCAAAAAGAAUGAGCUUAAAAGUGGCUAGCCAUGCAAUGAAAAAAGAAGUAGUGCCACCAAGAUGAAUAGAUGUGAGAUAAAGAGGAAGAAACAAAAAUAGACAAACUAUUGGAAAUAUAGCCACAAAUCUUGAUUUGCCAAUGGGAAUGAAUUUGGCUAUGGUGUGAGAAUAGCAUAAACUAACUAUGACAAUAGCCCAUACAACAAUGAAAUUGUGAAUUUCCCCUUCCAUUUCUAUGUUUCUUUUUCUUCUUCUUGAAAAAUGGACGGAACUUAUAGAUGUCUUUAUUAUCUCUAUCAGGGGGGAAAAAACCAUAUUAUAUGAAUCAUCAUACAAUUAUAUGAUUGUUGACUUAGACCUUACUCACCUUAGGGAACAUGUGAAAGUGGGGUUAGGUAGAAAUGGAUUAAACUACCUUUAUAUAUAUAUAUAUAUAUAUAUGUUACACAAUAAACAUGCAUGUGUCACAUUUUCUUCAUACUGGAAUUUGUUGUAAUUGUGCCGAGGGUCUUACAGAAAUAUUUUUUUUACCUUCACGAGAUAAUGAUAAGGUUUGUAUACCUUCUACCCUUCCCAAACCUCACUUAUAAGAUUUCACUAUUAUUUUAUUGUUAUUGUUGUUCGACCAAUGAUGGAUUAAACUACCUAUAUAUAUAUAUAUAUAUAUAUGUUACACAAUAAACAUGCAUGUGUCACAUUUUCUUCAUACUGGAAUUUGUUGUAAUUGUGCCGAGGGUCUUACAGAAAUAUUUUUUUUACCUUCACGAGAUAAUGAUAAGGUUUGUAUACCUUCUACCCUUCCCAAACCUCACUUAUAAGAUUUCACUAUUAUUUUAUUGUUAUUGUUGUUCGACCAAUGUGUAUCACAUAAAAGAAAAAACAAUAAAAAUCUUAACUUAGCAUUUGGAAAACAUCCAAAACUCUGUUUUCUCUUUUUCAUUUACACUAAAAAAAAAUUCAAACGUUACUCUAACUGUUAUUUCUAUAGAAGUGACACCGAUUUAAAUUAUAAUUUAUGUUUUUAGGAAAGGUAUAUCCAAAUAAUCAAAUAUUAUUUUCAAAAAUUAUAACCAAACAUAAUUUAGCUUACAAAAUUCCAAGAGAAACAAAGAAAAUAUGACGUGAAUUUGCUUUAUAAUUUUUUUUCCAUGUGCCAUCAUUAAUUGAAUAAAUUAGUUAAAACACAUAAUAUAUAUAAAUUAUCUUUAUAAUAAAUAAAUGUAUUAUUGUCACUAUUGGUCGAUGGUUCAAGAAGUCUUCUCUUUUUGUAUAAUAUCUUGUAGAUCUUGAUAAUGUGUCUUAGAUCCUAUUAAUUAAUUAUGUAACAUUUUGCAGCUAAUAACCAGUAGCACACAUAUUAUCAUUAUCAUUAUUAUUAUUAUUAUUAUUAUUAUUAUUAUUAUUAUUUGAACUUUAAUUUCAAGGAAUAUUUACUUCAUUAUACUUUUAUUUUACAAGAAUAUAUAUACCGCAAUGUCAUCAAAAGAUAGGGUGAUAUGAAUGACAUCAUUUUACACUUAUAAUUUAGCUCUACGCAUGUGAAUUUUCAUUAGUUAGACCACUGGGGUGAUUUGAAUUUUGGAGAGAGAACUAAGAGAAACAUCGUUAAUAUAUUGCUAUUAAGGAUGGCGAUAUUCAACAUCAUCCUCUUAAAAAUUAUUAUUGGAGAAAGGCAUAUCAAUUUGUUGUUUUUCUAGAAAACAAAAGCCACAAGCAUAGUGAUGAUUUAAUAAUAUCGGGAAAUGCUCUAAAGAAUAUGAAACUUCUUCUCUAGACAAAUUUAAGUGACGAUAAUUUUGAACUUUUAAAGGUAAGAAAAAAAUAGCAAGUUACACAAAGAAAUCAAAUUAACUCUAUCAUAAGUACUCAUACAAACCUUAGUCCAUCAUGAAUAAAUAUUAUAACAGGAGUGGACAUGUGAUAUUGGUAGGACUAAUUAAUUGACCAUACCUAAUAAAUUUAAAGAAAGCAAUAUAUUCAUUACAUAAUUUAAGCUCUGUAUUACCCCUCAAAAAAGGAGGAAAAAAUAACCAAAAACUUGUGAAAAUAAUAAAUGCUAGUGCUAAUGGACCUGAAAUAAUCCUAGGAACCAAAAAUUUGCCAUUGAACAUUUUCUUAAUAGCAAUUUCAACACUCAAAGCGACUCCAUGAAUUAGAAAGAACAUCAUGGCUUCACCACUAGGCUUCAAUCUUCCAAUGUAGUAGAAAAAUAGCUCAUGCAUUAACCCCGAGACGAAAAACGUGGCCAGCACAGCUGGAAUUGGGGCCCACUUCCUCGGGAUCCUGUCCACAAUAACCAAACGAACAUGAUCAUAGACGGCCAGACGGAGUAUAUUAGUUACCAUGAGGUUCCACCUCUUACCCCAGAAAUCCUGAAGCGAGCUAGCCAGGUGAGGAUUGUUGAUGGCUGGCUCGAGCUCAACUCGUCUCACCACUCGAACCGCGAUGCUAACUAUAUUCAACAUGAUCUCUAACAUGAAGUAAAUGUGGAGGCAAUAACAAAAGAGAAUGAAUUUUGGAUGUAAAUUUUCUUUAUAAUUAUACACCCUAAUCAAAAUGGCUAAAAGUGCAAUCUUUGUAACAAGAUUGAAAGUUGAACUUGUGGUCUUUUUUUUGGUUUCAACAUUAUCACUAGUUGAAUAUUUUUUCAACUUUAUAGGCAAACAAGCCAAGGGAAUGAAUGUUGAAAGUGGUAGAGAUGGGGUUGAUGACAAAGGGCCUUUACCAAAAGCAAAAAGAAUGAGCUUGAAAGUGGCUAGUCCUGUAAUGAAGAAAGAAGUAGUAGCACCAAGAUUAAUGGAGGUGAGAUAAAGAGGAAGAAUGUAAAAUAGACAAACUAUUGGAAUUAUAGCCACAAAUCUUGAUUUGCCUUUUGGAAUGAAUUUGGCUAUGGUGUGAGAAUAACAUAAACUUGCUAAGACAAUAACCCAUACAACAAUAAAAUUGUGGAUCUCCCCUUCCAUUUCUAUGUUUCUUCUUGAUCUUCUUCUUCUUCUUGGUUUUUUAAUUCAUUUCAUAAAAAGCAUAAACAAUGAUGGAAGUAAGGUUGUGUAGAAAUGGAAUAUUUCACAUAAAACAAUUAAGUAGUUGUCAUGAUGCCAUCUAAGACAUGUUUAUAAUAAUUAUAAAAGAGAAGAUCUUUUGCUCAUCAUCAAGGAGAUCUAGUUUUUUUGGAGUUCUACGCCUUUUUUGUAUUUUAGCAUGCCCUUGUAAUAUUGGAAAACUACCUAAUUAUACAAAUAUUUCUAUCAUAUUUUUUCAAUUUUUCCCUAUAGUUUAAAAUAAUAUAUUAUCUCACUAAUUAAUAAUUACAUACCAUAUUUCAAAUCAAACAUAUUUAGAUAUAUGUAUUUUUUCCACCAUAUACACUAAACUAGGGAGAGUGGCGAGCGAGAAAAGGAAAGAGGUGAGCGAGAUAGGAGGGAGGAGAGUGAGAUCCCCAUAUACAUGUGAAUCAUCCCAGAUACAUGUGAAUUACACCAAAUAGAUGUAUUUGGGUAUAUCAGAUUCAGGGAGAAAGGAGAGUGGAAAGUGGGAUAGGAGAGAGAGGCGAGCGAGAAAGUCAGAACAUGCGAGUCCACUUGAAUAUAAUGUAUAUAUAACAAAUUACACCUAAUUUUAAUCACGUACAUGUAUCUUGAUGUAUCUGAACGCGCCAAAUACAUAUAUCCGAAGUCCAAAAUCUGAUAAGGAACGUAAUAUUACAAACUAGGCGAAUCUAAAUAAUUAGCUCUUAAAGUAAUGAAAUUUAUGUUGUUUACCCAUUACAUAUCAGUUCUACAAUUAGCCCCUUUAGCCUUAGCCCAUAUAUCACAUCCGGCCCAAAACAAAAUACCCCACAGCCCACAUAAGGAGCCCAAUUGUCGCCCAAAAACCAAUUCUCAUUGCUCUCCUGCUGCUCCGCCGCCGCCGCCCGCCGUCGUUCGAUUUUCCUAGCUCAAGGUAUUUGAAACCUAACUGAUGUAUAAUAUAUGUAUAUAAUUCAUGUAUAAUCUAUGAAUACCGGCUAGAAAAAAUAGAUAGUAAGUUAUUUUGGCUGUUAUAGUUAAGAGGUUCUUGUGUGCUUUAGCAUGAAUAAGCUGAGAUUCUUGUAAUUGCUUCCUGUUGGUGAAAAUACAAUUAUUGUUGAAAAAAUAGAAAUAGAAAUAAAAAUAACAAUUUCUAUAGGCUGAAGAGCAGAUAACUCGUUUUUUUAUAUUCAAGCCACUAAGAUAGAAUAUUCACUGGUUCAACAGUAAUACUCUUGACUUGUUUCCUGCAGCAUAAAACAUCUCGACAAUGUUGUAUAUGUAGAAUAAACUCUAGACUAGUUGUUGAGUCUACUGUUCCAUCAAUAAGAACACAUUCCUUUUUAGAUGGCUCUUGCACUUAUAUUUCAUUGGAUUAGCCUUAGCGUUGAUCAUGAUUAAAUUCGGCUUUAGUUUUCACUAUUUUUGUAUAGCUAAGGUGCUUCAGUAGUCUUCUAAGAUAAAAAGUAAGCUCCUUUUUUUUAGAGUGUAAUUUAAGCGAAUGCACCUUGAAUUUCAAGAUUUGGAAUACUUUCUAUGAAAACUCUGGUCAUCAUCUGGUGCUCCCAGUAGUCUGUUGAAGCAUUUUUUAUAUAUGAACCAAAGCUCGAAAAGCAUUGCCUCUGACCUGUGCUGCUCGGACUCUUCAAAAAUGUUGUCCAGUGCGUCUCGGAUCCUCCAACAGUAGUACAUUUUUGAAGGAUCCGACAGAGGUCCGAGCAAUAUAGCCUUUGACUAGUUGAACAUUCAUAGUUAUUCAUCAUUUGGUCGUUUGUAUAAUUAAGAUUCUUCAUGAUAUGACUGCUUUCUUAUAGUAAUACAGUAUUUUUUGUUCUUAAGAGAAGCACUUAUCAGGAGAAACUUGUAUAAGGUUAAAGAAGUGUGCUUUCUUACUCAUUUGAUAGCUCUUACCUCACUUCUUAUGAUAGUUCCUCUUUUUUCUCCUUCUUUCAUCUGAUAUCCAUAAAUUUCUUCUUCUUUUUCCGAGUUCCGAAGAUUUGGUAAUUGUUUUUCAAAUGAUAUCCUUUCUGUGAACAGUCAAUGGAACAUGGUUCAUUUGAAGAUCAAUCUAAAGCAACAUUCUCGUUGACAGAUGAGGACCAUACGCUGGCAAAUGCUGUCAGAUUCACUCUAAAUCAAGAGUUAGUAGUUCACCUCUUCAUUGCUUUUUUCAUUAUGCAGUAAUCACUGCUAAUACUUUCAGUGUUCGCUUUAUUUCCUCAUACAAAUUACAGUACAUAUUACAGAAUUUUGUUUGAAGUUUAGUGUCUGGUAAAAUAGGGGGCCUGGGUAUCUCAUUUUGUAACAUUCCUCUGAUCUCAUGUUAAUCUUGUUUUUGCAUGUUCAGUCUUCAAGCCCCCCAUCUCACCCCGUUUUUUUAAGCAGAGUUUUUGUGCAACAAGCUUAAGAUGAUAUGAUUAACUGAUAUCCACUUUCUUGCAGUCCACGAGUAACAUUUUGUGGAUACAGCAUUCCACAUCCCUCCGAUGCACGAGUGAACAUAAGAGUUCAGACUACUGGUAAAGCUAAAAACUUUCACCAACUUAUCUUUAUCAAUGAUUUCUCCAACUUAUAAAAGAAAAGCUUAAACGUUUCUCUAGCAAUAGCAAUGCAGGGGUGAUUCGUGUACUGGAUUUUCUGUUCUUUUAUAAACUUUUUUUAAAAUCUGAUGUUCAAAUUGGUAUCCUGCUUCCACAUGUUUUAUCCUUGCUACCUAAUUGCAAGAUUUCUCCUCUAUCUAUAAUUUUUUCCAACUUGUAUGAUACAAAGAUUGUAGUCCUCUUUAUUUAUUAUUCCGCCCAAGUGGACUAUUCUCUCCUUAUGGAGUCUAAGAAAACUGAGAUAUCUUUGCGCGGUAUUUCCAGUUAAGAAGAUUAUCUCAUUUAUAUUUUUUUUUGUUCUGAUGUACACAAACGACCAAACAUAAUUCCUAGAAGCCCAUUCCACUAGGGAGUUAAUGUGUAGCAAUGUUUCUCCAUAUGAAGUUUUCCUUGUUGAUAUUUUCGAUUAGAAGGAAUAAUAUAAAGCUAUUUUAUUUUUCAAUUAGAGAUUGCAACAGCAUGCAUAACCUGUGUACUGAUACGACCGCCUGGAAAUAGCAAUUCGCAAUUGUCUUUUUUUUUUAAUGCUUCCAUAUGUUUAUACAGUUCUUCUGUGAAAUGUUGUGGACCUCUGUUUGAGUUUUGGUAUAUCUGGCUUCUAUUGCAGGAGAUCCAGCUAGGGAGGUAUUGAACGAUUCAUGUCAGGAUCUAAUGCUUAUCUGCGAGAACGUUAGAGACACAUUUGACAAGGCUAUUUUAAAGUUUAAAACUGAAGGAGGUCUGAGCUCUAUGGAUAUCAAGAAAUAAUCGACAAGAAGUACAUAUAACCUCAUAUCCAAGUGAAAUCUUGUAACCUUAUUUGCACAAAAGUUGCUUUCGUUAUAACCAUUUUCCCCCAUAGGCCAUAUAUAUGUUCAUCAGAUUAUUAGCUAUAAUGCUUAUGCUUUAGUUGCACACUGUCAUCUGCCGAUUUGGUGAUCUCCAUGACGAUGAUAGUGCAAAUUUUGGCUAGUUGGCUCACAUAUACGAAGAAUGUACCUUGGGCUGUGCAGAAAUAUUGAUCUGCAUGUUUUAAUGCACUGUGCUUCCUUUUACAUUGGGUUAGGAUGGAUGAAUCAUUGGAUUUUUUAUCAGCUUGCUUUCGCGUAAAAGUUGUCUAUUCGUACUUUCUUUUUAUUGGCUCUCUCUCAUAUUGUCUUAGCUCGCGCGUUAUGAACUCCAGCCAUAGUAACCAUACAAAUGAAAUGAGCCAACUAAUCGAUCUUUCUCUUGGUAUACAUCCCUUUGUUUUGGAUUUGCUUUUGCUUUAGUUCUUGUCGUAGAACGACCUUUUCUGUUCUACUUUGCAUCUUUUCCAUUUGGGACUGAUGCAUAAUUAUUUUCCACUUGAGUAGUUUUUAACAAUAUUGCUAAACCAAGAAAACAAACCACAAGAUUCUGGUCAAUAUCUUAUUAUUUCAUUGAAAAUGAACAAACCACUCACAUUGCUAUUGCUCUUGUUAUUGUAGUAUAUAUGUACAACUGAGAUUAUAAUUAUACACCAACAGAAUUUCGAAUUCACGCCUGUACUAAAGAAAAAAAUCUGGUUCUUGCACUCAUCCAGUUCUUACAUAUCCUCGAGCAAUAUCAGAACUUCAAAUCAUUCCAACCUCGUGUUUGGCUCGUUGCUAAGAUCUGGAAGAUGUUCAGCCGAAGCACAUUACAUAGUUUCUCCUAUAUUGUCCGUCUCCUCGAGGAAGAUGAAUGAAUAAAAAACAUUUCAUAUUUAAGAUGCAUUACCCAAACAAGAUAUGUUGAGAAGCCUGCAAGAUUGUUCUACCAUCAGUUUAUAGGUAGAAGGAUGCUUCCAGGCUAUAAACGAGAACUGGUCUCCAUAUCGUUCCAUUCCUUCCACUAAUAGCUGCCAUACUAAGGCUCCUGCACCAGCUUUCUUCUUCUUUGCUGACUCGUAAAUCUUGUCAUAAACUAUUUUCAGAAAAAUAUUUCUGUCGUAUAAUCCGUUCUUCUGUAUACUCGAAGGAAAACCAACUUCUGUGAAGAGAACAGGCUUCUUAAGGAUUUUUUCAGCUUCACUAAUGUGAGAAUCAACCCAAUGAGAUAGAAAAUCUACUCUCGCGUCUGAAUUUAUACCACCUUUGAUCCUGCAAGAAAACAUAUUUUAACAUAAUCGAUGAAGGCAGUUAUAAACACAUAUGAGCUUAUAUUUCUACAUAUGCUACUAUAAAAAUGUAUCUGAUUUGGAACAAAUUUAAUCUGCUUGACUAACCAACUGUGGGGGUAUGCAUGAACUGAAGUAAAAUCAAUGUUUUCAAUAGCCGAGUUCUCAAUGAAGUCCACUCCAAGUGAUGCAGCCCAUUUCCCUGGGUUCAAUCCAACGUUUCCAGUUUUCUCCACACCAUAAAAGCCCUCUAGUCCAAUGGUCACGAGAUGCUUCUGAUCCAAACUUUUGACAAAUCCAGCCAUCUCUGCUAUCCACGCCUGUUCACGAAAUUACCAUUGAAGCUAAAGAAAGAAGGUACUACAAUCAGACCUCUCUAUAACAGUCACCCUCUAUAACAACACUUCACUAUAACAGCCAAAUUUUUCUUUAGAACCGAUUUUUUCAUGUUCUCUAUAACAACAUUUCAUUACAACAGCCAAAAAAAUGCCUGCACAAACAAUGCAGUUAUAGAGAGGUUUGGCCAUAAUAGGUGCAAUGGGACGAGUAAAAUCUUGCUUUAUGUACUAGAACUAUUGAUAUGCAAACUAAUUAACACAAACAAAGAAAAAAGUAAUCUCUGCCAGAUGCUUUAUUUUCCUUGCUUCAAAAUCGCCAUUUUUCUAGUGUCAUUGAGAGGCCAAAACUCUCUCUAGUAAGCAGUAUAAUUCAAAAAACUAACCUGGAGAGCAGCAGCUGAUGAACUGGAUUCACAACGAGGCUCAUUUAUGAGUUCCCACGCAAAUAUGGCCGGUUCUUCUGAAUAUUUAACUCCACUUAUAGAGUUUUUUCUUGUCACAAUAGCCUGCCAUGCGCAACAAGUAAAAAAAAAUUAUAAUGUGUUUAUAGUUCAUCACGUGAAAGUAAAUAGAAAGAAAUUGCUUAACGGGAAAAGCUUCUUCAAAGUGUAUUCAGUUAGCAUUGUCAAGUGUCUUAAGUUUGCUUAAUUUGAACAUACCUUGACAAAAGACUUGUAGUAUGCUUUAACCGUUGGAUUGGUAAAGAAUGCAUCUCUUGAUGAUGACACAUUGGUACCUGCUUCUCGCGCCCACCUCAUAUAUUGAGCAGUGCCACCAUAUGCUUUUAAAUUGUUUACAAGACUAAGGAUUAAUCGAAUGUUAUGCUUCCUUGCUUCAACAAUGACAAAAUCUAAUCCCUGAAAAUGAUAGGAUGAUAAGAUUAUAUCAAAAUGUGGGGAGAAGGUAAAAAUUUAUACCAUGUGGCAUAAAAUUGCAUCACUAAGCAAGGCCCUGAACAAUAGUUCGUAAUAGUCUAGUAAGAUGAACAGACUUGUGUGAAUGUAUGCUUGCAGAUACAUCGGCAAGAUAAUCGUUAGGAAUUGCAUAUGUGCACUAUAAUAUCUAGUUUUAUCUACUGGUGGUCUACUAGUCUGUGGUUUCUAUUGCUACUUUCUGCCGAGCUCUUAUGGUGUUAGAUCGAUUAUAUAAUCAAGACUGAAUAUAAUCAAUUUUUGAACAAAUACUACUUAAAAUUUGUAUCUUCGGCCAUCUAGGCGCAAUCCACUAUCCACACAAAACUAAAUUGUUUGGAUCUUCAGUAUAGCAGUAGGUACUAUGUAUAGUAGUAGGUACUCAGAACUCAUGAAUGCUUGAUAUCGUAGUAAAUUCUGCAUUGCAACUAUAAUUGCAGAAUACUAUAUGCUACCCAUUUGUAUUGCUAGACUAGAUGUAGCAGAGUUAAACUAUCAGAAGUGUUUCUAGUAAUCUUUAGCUGAUGUUCAUUAUGAUAAACACCAAAAAGUUCUGUCCUUUCAAAGUACUUUUGCACAAAACCUUUUCGGUUUGGACUACUAUUUCAUAAUAUGCCAAUGAUAUGACCGAAAGCAGGUCUAUCCGUAAUGACGUCUUGCUAGCUUUUAGAUGUUUAACUGAAUAUUCAAAGUUUCAAACCUACUAUUCCACCAUCCCCAACACCUCACCAGUGAGAACAAGAUACAUGUAAGCUGGUUAGUUGUUCUUUUUUACGGUUGUGUUCAGGGCAAUUUGUACGUAUCUCGACUAUUCUAUGGGUACCUUGAAAAUGGUAGUGAGUUAUUCCAUCUACCAGGUUUUGGUAGACAUGAAAAAAUCACCUAGCAUUUUUUGUAAAUUCUCUGCUCUCCUGUGAUUUCAUCCCACUUCAUUGGCCGCCACCUUGAUUACUAGUUGAUUUAUGCACUUAACAUACAAAUUAAGGUAUACUACCAAUUGUAAAGCACAAUAUUUAAGUUUAAUACGCCUAAGAAUUAUACAAAGACUCAAACUUUACCUUCUAUUUUCACUAAACUUCUAUUAACAAAUAAAAUCAUCUCUGUUUCAAGAGAAAUAAAUCAACAUCACACCCUAAAACACCAUAAACACAGCGAUCUUAGAAACUGGCAAAUGAUUCUCAUUUUUUUGAAUUAAGAAACAACUUCUCAAAGUGUUCAAUAAGUUACUACUCCCUCCCAUUCAAAUUAUUUGUCUUACCAUCCUUUUUAGUUGAUUUCAAGAAAAAAAAAACGUCUCUUUCCCAUUUUUCAGCAACUCUUUUAUUCUACCUUUCCACCUUGACAUGUUUAAGACCACAAGAUUAAAGUACAUUUUAGUGCAUUCUAUAUAUCUUUAGUUUAAGACUACAAGAUUCAAAACUCUUUCUUUUACUUUCUCAAAACUCCACGUCAAAUAAAAAUACCAGAUAAUCAAAUUGAAAUAGAGUUGAGUACAAGUUAUGUUGCUCAGACUCUUUAAAAAUGUUGAUGGACACAUGUUGGAUCCUCUAAAAGUAAGUGCAGUUUGGAGUAUCCAACAUGAGUACAAACACCAUUUUUGAAAACUCCGAGCAACAUAGGCAAUAAGUACUUCAGUAAUCCCAAUAAUUGCUACAAAAAAACAACAACAUCAUACCCAAUGAAACUCUUUUAUUACUUUCUUAAACUCCAUGUCAAUUUAAAACCAAACAAUCAAACUGAAACGAAGGGAGCAUAAGUUAUGUUGCUCAGACUCUUCAAAAUUGUUGAUGGAUGCGUGUCGGAUCCUCUAAAAGUAAGUGCAUUUUUGAAGUAUCCAACACAAAUGCAAACAACAUUUUUGAAAAAUCCGAGCAACAUAGAGUCUAUAAGUACUUCAAUGAUCCUAACAAGUGCUACAAAAAACAACAUAUACAGUAAAAUUCCACAAAGUGAGGUCGGGGAGGGUAAAGUAUACGCAAACCUUACACCUAUCUCGGAGGUAUAGAGGUUGUUACCCUCAGCUCAACUAUGCUACAAAAAUCAAACAAAAACCCAAAUAACAGAAAAAUUAGCAAUUUUGAAAUAGAAGUACCACCUUAAAGACUCUUUCAUUGAAGACUCCAGGAAGUAGCUGAAGAUCAUUAGGUCCACCACCAUCACUAAAAGCCCAAGUCCUACAAACACUCAACCCCAUUUCAGCUCCUCUUUUCAACAUCUUAGAAACCCUAAAUCUUGAAGAUACCCAAACACUUUCCUCCAUUAACCAAUAAGAAUUCCAACCAUUAAUGUAAAAUUCUUGAAAUGUUAAAGAUUGAGUCUUUGGAUUUUCAUUCUUGAUGAAAAAUCUAGUUUCAUUAACCCCAACAAAACCCAUAUAAGGUUGUCUUAGAAAGAUUUGUGGGAAAGUGAAAUUAAAAUUGUCAUUGAAACUCAAAUACAAAAGAAAAAAAAUGGUGAAAAUGCCUAAGGCUGGAUAUAGUUUUUUGUCUCUCCAUUGUGUGUCCAUUUGGGAAAUUUUGUUGGUUUGUUUUGUGUCAAAUGUUAGUUAUAUAUAUAAAGGGCUUUAUUUUAAUCUCCCACCGACUAAAAUUUUGGAGUAAUUUUCUUUUCGAAACCAAACUUAUACACUAUAUAUUUAUCAAACAUAUCGAGAGUUCUUUUGAAAUUCGCUUUGUAUAUUAUAGAGAUCAAUUCGCUUGGUAUAUUAUAGUGAAUUUUAGAGAGUGGUUUGUUAUAUCGCUAUAUGAGUGUGUUGUUGUAUUGCUAAUAUAAAUUUUAGAAAUUGUUAUUACAUUUGAUAAUUACCCAAACUAUCGUUAUGGUUAAUAAUUAUGCCUCAAACUAUUGGUUUUAUGAAAAAAUUCCGUCUUUUAUUCCAUGAGGAGAAAGUACUCUCUCUUGUUCUUUUUUAUUUCUCGUAUGAUAUAUGAUAUUUACUUUGAGGCUUGAUCAAUUUAAAUUCAUGUCAGAAAGUUCAAGUUUAGUUGUUAAGCUUUUGCUACCAUAAACAAUCAUCAUUAAUGCUCAAAAUUAAAAUCUUGAAUUAAGAAUAGAAUACAUUUUUUGCUUACCGUCUCAACUCUUAAUCAUUUUGAUUUAGGGUAAAAGUUUAUAUAUGUAUUGUGUAAAAAUAAUUUAUCCCUUUAGUAUGUGAAAGAGAUUUAGAUCCUUUUUUUCCUCCCUUAUUUAUUUUUGUCACAAAAUAAAAUCUUAUGUAAUAAGGUUUGGCAACUUUUUCCAAAAUAGAGAAGAUUACAAAUUAUAUGAAACGUGUGAUUUAGUGUCUUAUUCAGACUUUGGUUUACAGAUGUGUUUGUCUUAACCUCAUUUUCCUUCCACCUACACAACACACUUUAUGUCUAAAUUUGCUAGCAGGUUUGAUUAGAUCAUUUUACAAGAUUAAAUCAUUAUUGCUCGGUGACAGUUCAGAAUCCAUAAACUUCAAAUCUCGACUUCACCUUUAAUAUUUAUGUUGUAUUGCCAUACGUUACUAUAAUUCUAUAUUUAAUUCUUUCUCUUGAUUCAAGAAAUAUCAGUUUAUAUAUAAUGGAGAAAUUUAUUUUUGCUCUAUAUAUAUUAUAUACAAUAUAAUUUUCGAUUGAACAUAUUCAAUACGACUCAUCCGGUAGCAUUAUAUACUUCGCAUUAAUGUGUUAUGAGGUCAUAUGUAUAAAUCAUAGUCUGAAGAAGAAAGAAAGAACAAAAUGCAAGUGGUCGAAUAGCGGCGGAGUCAAAGAUUAUCACGAAUGAAAUUCAAAAUAUAAAAUAAUAAACACAUAAAUAAGUUGGAGAAUUCAACACUUUCCAUAAAAAAAAAUCAUGUCAUUUUUGUCUUUAUUAGUAUUAUUAAUUAGUAAUCACAUAGUUUCAUUUUUCUUCAAUGUUUUUUGCUAUGUAUUGUUCUAAUUUUCUUGAUAUUUUUUGAGUCGAAUGUCUAUUAAAAAUAAUUUAUUUAUUCCACAAAAAUAAAUUUAAGAUAUGUGUAUACCUAAAUUAACUGAUACAUGAGACUCCGUCCAAAUAUAUUAUUGUUAUUAUAUAUAAAAAUAAUACAAUUUUAUCAACCAAAAAAGUUAGUGAUACUCUAGCUCUGCGGCUUCAUAUAGCUAAGGGACAAAGAAGAGAGCAAAAUGGCAACUAAUUUUAGAAUUAUUAGUGUUGAUAUCACUUUUUGGCAGGUAUUCCCUAUCAGUGUACGUUAAUUUUUUUUAAAAUGUUUAUUACGAUUUACAUCUAUAAUUGAUAGGUAUUUAAUUUAUAUACACAAAUAAUAUAUCAUAUAUAUUUUUAUAUUAGAGUAACUUUCACAUAUAGCAAACACAAAAUUCAUAUUUGUAUACUAUAACAAAGUUUGCAUAAUUGCACUCCAUAGCAAACAUAAAUAUGUAUAUUUCGCUAACAUUUACAAAAGAAAUCAGUUGUAUAAUCUGCUUUGGUAUACAUAUACAAAAAGAUCAAUUGUAUAAAGUGAGAGAGGUGAGUGAGCGAGCGAGAUCUGGGAGAGUGGCGAGCGAGAUCUGGGAGAGGGGAACGAAAAUAUAUGUAUAUAUACAAUUUUCNNNNNNNNNNNNNNNNNNNNNNNNNNNNNNNNNNNNNNNNNNNNNNNNNNNNNNNNNNNNNNNNNNNNNNNNNNNNNNNNNNNNNNNNNNNNNNNNNNNNNNNNNNNNNNNNNNNNNNNNNNNNNNNNNNNNNNNNNNNNNNNNNNNNNNNNNNNNNNNNNNNNNNNNNNNNNNNNNNNNNNNNNNNNNNNNNNNNNNNNNNNNNNNNNNNNNNNNNNNNNNNNNNNNNNNNNNNNNNNNNNNNNNNNNNNNNNNNNNNNNNNNNNNNNNNNNNNNNNNNNNNNNNNNNNNNNNNNNNNNNNNNNNNNNNNNNNNNNNNNNNNNNNNNNNNNNNNNNNNNNNNNNNNNNNNNNNNNNNNNNNNNNNNNNNNNNNNNNNNNNNNNNNNNNNNNNNNNNNNNNNNNNNNNNNNNNNNNNNNNNNNNNNNNNNNNNNNNNNNNNNNNNNNNNNNNNNNNNNNNNNNNNNNNNNNNNNNNNNNNNNNNNNNNNNNNNNNNNNNNNNNNNNNNNNNNNNNNNNNNNNNNNNNNNNNNNNNNNNNNNNNNNNNNNNNNNNNNNNNNNNNNNNNNNNNNNNNNNNNNNNNNNNNNNNNNNNNNNNNNNNNNNNNNNNNNNNNNNNNNNNNNNNNNNNNNNNNNNNNNNNNNNNNNNNNNNNNNNNNNNNNNNNNNNNNNNNNNNNNNNNNNNNNNNNNNNNNNNNNNNNNNNNNNNNNNNNNNNNNNNNNNNNNNNNNNNNNNNNNNNNNNNNNNNNNNNNNNNNNNNNNNNNNNNNNNNNNNNNNNNNNNNNNNNNNNNNNNNNNNNNNNNNNNNNNNNNNNNNNNNNNNNNNNNNNNNNNNNNNNNNNNNNNNNNNNNNNNNNNNNNNNNNNNNNNNNNNNNNNNNNNNNNNNNNNNNNNNNNNNNNNNNNNNNNNNNNNNNNNNNNNNNNNNNNNNNNNNNNNNNNNNNNNNNNNNNNNNNNNNNNNNNNNNNNNNNNNNNNNNNNNNNNNNNNNNNNNNNNNNNNNNNNNNNNNNNNNNNNNNNNNNNNNNNNNNNNNNNNNNNNNNNNNNNNNNNNNNNNNNNNNNNNNNNNNNNNNNNNNNNNNNNNNNNNNNNNNNNNNNNNNNNNNAGAGAACGAGAGUGGCAAGCGAGAUUCACCAGGAGAGAGGUGAAAUAGCAACAGUUUGCUAUGAGGUACAAUUAAAUCAAACUAUAUUUAUAGCAUUUAAUUUGAAUUAAUAGUAGAUGUAUAUAUACAAUUUUCUCUCGCUUUAUACAAACACAAACGCACUUUAUACACUUGCGUUUGUAUAAAAAACGAGAGAGGCGAGGGAGAGAACGAGAGUGGCGAGCGAGAUUCACCAAGAGAGAGGUGAAAUAGAAACAGUUUGCUAUGAGGUACAAUUAAAUCAAACUAUAUUUAUAGCAUUUAAUUUGAAUUAAUAGUUUGUUAUUAUAUACAAUUUUCCCUUUAUAUUAUUUGCUAUUAUUUUGAUGGACGGUUAUACUCCGUGAUAGCCCAACUAUGUACCAUCCCAAUUGGAUUUGGCCCAAGUUAUGUACCUGAGGCCCAUAUUUUUCCAUUAUCCAGGCCUAGAACUAUCACUGCUAAUUUCAGUUCUUUGAGGCAAUUCAUCAAACAGAUAGUAAUCUCAAGCAAACAGUUCAUAAAGAAUCUGAGAAAACAAAGUAAAAUUGGUAAGUUUCUUGCUAUUUCUCAGCUAUUUUGUUUCUUGUUAGUCUCCAUAUAUUUAUCUAUAUAUCAUUUAUCAUUCUGCCUAACAAGUUAAAAGAAAAGGUGCAUCAUUACUUCAAGUUAUAAUAUUUAAUGGGUGUUGUAGAAAUAAACAUAUGGAGUUUGGUGCUUUGGGAUAUAAUGGGUGUUAUAAAGUUAAGAUUUUUGAGUUUUUUUGUUAAUGGGUGGUAUAAAGUUAACAUUUUUGAGUAUUUUUGUUAAUGGGUGUAAUAAAGUUAACAUUUUUGAGUAUUUUUAUUAAUGGGUGUGAAGGGGAGUCUUGGAGUAACAAUAAAGUUGUCUACAUGUGACCUAUAGUCACGGGUUCGAGCUGUGAAAGCAGUUACUAAUGCUACCGUUAGUAGACCGUGUACCUCACACCCCUUGGGGUGCGGGGCCCUUCCACGGACCUUGCUAAUGUGGAAUGCUUUGUGCCAAUGGGUGUUUUGGUUCUUUGGUUUUUGAUGCUCCCUUGUUCCCAAUUUAUGUGAUGGGGUUUGACUGUGCAUGGAAUUUAAGAAAGGAACACUUAUCAAACUUAUAUAGAUAUAUUGUAUAACAAUUCAUAGGUAUUUGUGUGAAUCAGUACUUCAAGUUGUGAUCUUUAAUGGGUGUUAUUCAAAUAAACAUUUAGAGUUUGGUACUUUGGUAUGUAAUAGGUGUUAUAAAGUUAACAUUUUGAGUUGUUUUUUUUUUUCAAUGGGUUUUAUGACUUAUGAAAGUUAUCAUUUUUUAUGCUCCCUCCGUUCCCAUUUUAUGUGUCGGUGUUUGACUGUGUAUGGAGCUUAAGAAAGAAACACUUCUAAAACUUAUGCUCUAUAACAAUUCAUAGACAUUUGUAUGGCUAUCAUUUUAAGUUAAAUUGUUUCUAAAUAUAGGAAGUUGUCAUUUUGACGUUGGUUCUUUUAUAUGGAUUUUGAAAGCAUCACAAGAUGAUUUUGAUACCCUAUUAAAAUUGGAGCUUGGCAGUUGAUGUAUAAUCUGAUAAAUAAUCCUCAUAACUUAUGUAGUGGUUAUGGACUGAGUAGCAGUUUCACUUGUUUUCCUUAGCAUUAUGCUGCUUUUCUUUUAGGCAAUUAGUUUCGGUAUAUAUAAAUAGACCACGAAUGGCUUUGUAAAGCUCCUCGCAAUAUAUAGUUAGGAGGAUGGGACGAUGGGACGGAUUGGAAAGCACUUUUACCAUAGCCACUUCUACCAUGACCACUGGCUAGGCUUAUACGGUCUCGUUUAUAGUUCUGAAUUUUUCAUCUGAUUCAUAGGCAAGUUUGAGAUUAGUUUAAUGGGUUGUGGGAUGUGGGAUGUGAAAGUUGGAAUAUUAAGGGGUUAGGACAUUCAUUGUCAGCAAAAGCGGAUCUAUGAUUCAAAUUUUAUGGGUUCCCACAAUGUGAAGUAAAUAUACAAUAAUAAUAAUAAUAACUAGGUUCAUAGUCAAUCAUUUAUAGAUAAUUGGUGGAUUUCUUAAUACAUACAGUAUAUAGGGUCUGUGGAGUGGAAGAAGCUACUGGUUCUCGUGAGCCCGUAUAGUACACGUUGCUUUUACCACUGAAGGCAAGAACGACAUCAUUUCCUGGAGCAAGUAAGGGAAUUACAUUUUCAGCAGUAAAAAUCUCAUUAGGCAUUCAAGUUUGAAACAAGUAGCAAGACUUUUGCUCAUAUGAUAGAUAAUAUAUUUGUGGAAAAAAAGCCUGUUAAGUGUUACAAUACAGUAGACACGUGAGCAUUGGCUGUGGAAAUUAAGCAUGCUCGCUUUAAUAUAAAUUAGAAUACUACAUGUGAUUAUAGGCUGUAUGUCAAGGGUGCUAAUUUAGGUUGCUUCUCCUGUUCAGAAAUUUGAUUCAAGUACGUACCUGUUAAACAAACUUGCUGACAGUUUUGCAUGUCAUAGAAUUACUGCCUCUAUUUUUUCACUUAUAAUUAUGUAAUGGCUAUUAAGAUUUAGCAGAUUCUCUAUUCACUUGACCAACUUAUCUUGGUGAAUCUUCCAAUACAUAGAUAUGAAACAGGAAAUGUGGGACAAAAAUGGCUUAUCUUGCUUUUAGUACAUGAUUGCCUUAUCUUUAGGACCUUCUACUUCUCUUUGCCUUGUUUUCUCUGCAUCUUCUACCUCUUUAAACUGCUUUUGCACAUGCUAAUACAUCGACGACUUAUUGUAGGUUCAAAAUGCAAAGCUUGAGAUCAUCUAUUCUGAAGUAUGUGCGGGUUAGGGUCCCAUUGCAAGUAUCAUUAUCUCAAGCUGAAGGCCGGAGUGCGUUAAAUAUACUCAAUUUGCAAAUACGCACCUGUAGCAAUUCUGGUUCCACUGAUCAGGAUCAGAUAAAGGAACAAGUGCUUAACUUGGUGAAGAAAUUUGACAAGAUUGAUGCAACCAAGGUAUGAUUCAUCCAUUUUUUGUACUUCCAACACGGAGCAUAAGUUUAUGUGUAAAGAUUACUAAAACUGCAACAAAAUAAGUACUCCCUCUGUUCAAUUUGUUUGUCUUACAAAUGCCUUUUUCCCUAUUUUGGCAACUCGUUAAUUCCAGUUUUCCACAUGGCAUGUUUAAGACCACAAGAUUAAAAGACAUUUUGGUACAUACAACGUAUCUUUAGUUUAAGACCACGAGAUUCAAAAGUCUUCUUUACUUUCUUAAACUCCAUGCCAAGUCAAAACUAGACAAACAAAUUGAAAUGGAGGGAGUAAUGAUUCAAUGCUAAGAACCUUAAAUGUUGAACCGGUUAAAUUCUGGAUUUGUCUCUGCUGAUGGUCUAUAUCAAUUUAACACAUAUUGUGGCAAAAGACCAGUCAAAUAGUGGAUAUUACAGCUGAAUCCUAAAUCUUUUUAUAGGUCACUGAGAGUGCUGAUUUCCAGAAGGACUUGAGCCUAGACAGCUUAGAUAGAGUGGAACUUGUCAUGGCAUUUGAACAAGAAUUCUCGAUUGAGAUACCUGACGAAGAGGCAGACAAGCUUAAAUGUUGUGCCGAUGUUGCUCAGUAUAUCAUUUCUGGAGCUGAGAAGAAAGCUCAGGAGAGUUCAUAGAGUAACUUAUUAGUUAUCCCUAGGAGAGGAUAUCAUGUCAUCGGAAUAGACAAAGGUUUCUUUUGGAACAUUCUCCUAGAUAGUUUUUCUUUUGUCUGAUAAGCUGUUGAAUCCCAGGAUCACAUUGUCCUUAACUUCUUUUAGCGCGUCUUUUAGUUUUUUGUGGAUUGUGUGAAUGAUUGCUACAUUUAUGCACCCCAGAUUUUAGUUAUUGAUUCUGUAGUGAAUACAAUUUUUGCUGUUACUUUAAUAUAUUCAAAGUUUGUGCAUCUGGUGUGGCUAUGAAAGGCUACUUUUAAUAUUCUCAGUGGAAAUACAUGUGCCUGUUACACAUCAUUCAUACAAGAAUGAAGAAACCUUAUAUUUACAUCUCUCUCUCUCUCUCUCUCUCUCACACACACACACACACACACACACACAUAAACUCGUCGUGGGAGGAAGCAAACAACAAAUUGUGGGCUAAUACCAGCAGGUUAUGUUUCAAGAUUCAUCCAACGACUCAAUGUUUGUGACUGAUCAAAGCGCCAACAGAUUUGAGUCGUUGGACGUGCUGAAUUUUUGGCCUCCUGAUCACAUAACAGCAACUUUCUUUCUGCACCUUUGUGUAACUUUAGGGGUCAGAUGAAUUGUUUGUGUGGUGUAAGUACGGAUUCCUCCACCGAUAGAAAUUAGCUCGAGUCCUUUGUGUUUUCCUCUAAAAGCAUGUUCACAAAUGGUGUUUCUUGGCAGAUGAAGGACUUUAACAAGACAUGUUUUUUCCAAGUUUGGAAUAGCAUGAAGAUGAGAAGGAAGAUCAAUAAGAAAAUCUCCAUCUUCAUCUGUAGUGUUUCUUGCCCAUGACCUUCUUGUUUUUCCACUUGAUCCACAGAAUACACCUACUGAUGCACCUGAAAUAUGUUUGUCAUAUGUAAGAUUAGUAGUGAAGAAGAGCCUUAGCGUAAAUAGUAAAGUUGUUGUGUUUUGACCAGGAGGUCACGGGUUUGAGCUGCGGAAACAGUCUCUUGGCAUAACUAGUAAAGUUGUUGAAAUGUGAUCAGGAGGUGAGGGGUUCAAAUUUGGAAACAACCUCUUGCAAAAAUGCAGGAUAAGACUGCUUACAAUAGACUCUUGUGGUCCAGUUGUUUUUUGAAUCACAUGCAUAGCUGAAGCGUUGUGCAUCAGUUGUGUUUUACUAUAUGAAUCAAUCAACUAGACCUCAAUUUCAAAUUACUUGGGAUUUUACUGUAUGAGUCAAUUAACUAUAUCUCAAUUUUAAAUUACUCAAAUGUUACUAUAUGAAUCAAUCAACUAUACCUCAAUUCCAAAUUACUCGGACUUAAUUAUAUUAAAUUUAGACCCAUAUUUUCAAAUAAAUGCAACGAAUUUAGUGAGCUUUUAAUUUUAUGUUAAUUUACCAACUUUUGGUUCCAAUAACACUAUCAUUUUGGUAGAACAGAAAUUUGGUGGUGUUCAAUGAAAGCAAACAUAUCUUUAUUAAUAUACAAACAGGUCCAUCAAGUUUUCAUAAUUUAAUAUUCAACCCCACUUUUUCUUAAAAAUACUUUUUUUUUUCUGUUUUCUCUUUUCUCUUUUCUGUAACUUUUUUCUUUUUGAAUAAAUAAAUGAUCUAUAUCAUAUAGUAACUGUUACAAGAAUUAGAAACGAUUCUAAAUUUAAUGGAUCCUAAUUUCCAUUUAAGGAUCAAGUUUAACAUUAAACUUAAGUUAAUAUUAAUUAACUUUAGGCUUAACAACACAAAUUAACUUCCCUAUAUCUUAGGAUGUUUAAUUUCAUCUUAUUAUUCAUUUGCAAUUUAACUGGUCAAAACUACAUAAACUAGCUCAUGCUAUAAAAUCCACGUAAAACUGGAUUUUCAUUUUUAAAAAAUAAUGGUUUGGCUUCAAACAAUUAGAGAGAACCUAUAAUUGUGUUUACAUGACACAAAUUUGAAUUAAUUGAUCGGACCAAUGAGUUCCGAAUAUCGAAUUGUUAAAAAUAAAGGAUCUACACUAUAAGACAUGCUUAAGUUAUCUUUAAUUAUAGACAUCUCUUAACACAUCUUCAAAACUAAAAAAGAAAGAAAAACAAUAUAACAUAUUCCGUAAAAUUUCAUCAAGUGGGAAUCUAAAGAGGAUGGUGUGUACGCAAUCUUACCCUUAUCUUGUGAGGAUAUAAAGAUUUUUUUCAAGAGACAGAAUAAUUAUAUAGCUGAAUAAUGCAACAAAUUAUCAAAAACAUUCAGAUAUAUCUUAAACAAAUAUAAAAGAUGUGUUUUCUCUGUGAGUUAUUUAGCAACAGAUUAACGACGAAUAAGAACAUACAUACCUUGGAUAGGUGUUGAACCAAGUUCAAAAUUAUCAUCCUUGAUAAUAUUAUUGUUACAACCAUGAUCAUCAUACUCAUGACAAACAAUUUUUCCAUGAAUAAAAACAGUGGAAAGCUUUUCUUCUCCAUAACCAGCCAUUUUUAUCACAUCAUCUCUCAUAGAAAUUGAUUCAACUAUAGAAACUUCUCUCUCAAUACCCAAAGUUUUAAAAACAAGAAAUGAAAAGAAAAAAAGUACAAACAUCAUUUUUUUCUUCACAAUUUUAUUCAUGAUGAAAAAAUCCAUGAUAAUUGUGUUGUUGUUGUUGUUAAAAUGAUAAAAUAAAUAAAGAAAACUUUGUAUCAAAGAAAGAUUUUAUAAUUUUUUUAUUUUAUAUAAGAUGGAAUGAAUAGAAAAUGAAACGUUACCAUAUCUUUGGUUUUAUAUAUAAGCAAUAAAUAUAUGCAUGGUUCAUAUGAACUAUUAAUUAAUGUUAUUACAUUUAUAACCUUGAGGCUUCCUUAAUUAAACAAAAUAAGAAACCGAUAUUUUAAUAUAGGCUUUACAAUUAAUUAAAGAUGGUUCAAUGCAUUGCUCUAUUAAAAUUAACUCAUGACAAUUAAUAUUUUUUUGCUCAUUAAUCUGAUUUUUAUUUUUUGUGUUAGUGUUUCUCAUGUUAAAGUAUAGUUUGAAACUUCAUUCUUAUUACGAUUUAAGUUAUAUAUAGUGAUAGAGUAAAUACAUUUUAUAUAGUCAGUGUAUUUAAUCUGUUAUUGUGGCAGAUUAUUGUUAUUGAAUCUUCGAGGCGCUGAAACCAAAUUUAAUAGUGUAAAUCUUCUAUAUACCGUCAAUUUUUAUUAAAUUUAUAAAUAAAAAUUUGUUUCCAAUUUUUUCCUUAAUUCCACGAUUCAAAUUAAUUUUGUUUUUCAGAUUUUCUUAAUGGGAAAAUUAAUCAGAGUAAUAUAAACUUAAUUCCGAAGAUUGAAAAUUAAAUAUAUUGAACUAAUAUUAGAUAGAAAAGAGGCAAGGGCAUUGCAGACCUUUCAAGGAAAAAAUAGUAGUUGACAUAUCAUAAGGUAGGGGUAAAAUAGUCAAAUCUUAUUUUGACAAGAUGAAAAUAUUGGAAGGUUAACUAUCAAGUUGGUAGCCUAAUUCUAUCACUUACAUACAUUCAUAUAUUUCUUUAUUAUUCACAAAAUAUAAAAAAUUAAGGUGUAGAAACUUUAAAGCCCCACCAAGUGUUAAUAUGUCUUCAACUAUGUCUAUAUUGAGCUCUUUGCAUGCAAGCAAAGCAAAAUCUUAUAGUAUUACUUAAGAAUUCUUGAGUCAAGCCUACCUCAACCAUAUUCUUUAUCUACAUAUUUUGAACACUAAAAUGUAACCAAAAAAUUCCAUUAAAAACUUUAGGUUACCUUGCAUCAUAAAUCAUCUUUAAAUUAUGAGUCCACUUAUUGUUGAACAAAUUCCAUAAAUUUGAGAUACAUCAUAAAGUAUUCAACUUCUUUAAGCUAUUAAGUUUUACCAACAUGGAUUGUAAUAGGAUGGGUGAGAUUCCUCCACCUU